rnacentral:lncRNA from 1 species
UUUUACAAUAGAAAAAACUGACUAUUCGGCGCGUAAACUAGCUAGGUAUUGGUCAUUAUGAUUAAGGGUCUGUGGCCAUGGUUAAUGCAUUACAAGUAGUGCAAAGUGGCACUUCCAUUUCAUUAAUUUUUAAUUACGAGAAAAUGAUUUUAUUAAUCCACUUGGCUUGCUUAGACGCACGAAGGCAAUCAUAUACCCCAUGAACUAUCUUCAAAAUAUCAUUAAACAUCAUAAUCACCUUCCUUCUUGUUGACCGCAUAUAUAAUAAACUCUUCGUCUAAAGAUAUGGUUGUUUUGUACAACUUGGCACUUGGCGAUAAGUUUGUUUAAUUUGUUGAAAUUAUUAGAAAAUGGAUAAUAUAUUAAUAAUUAGGUCUUUACAGAAGCAUAUGCACAGGCCUUUUUUAUAAUCGGUGCUGAUAAAAUGUUGCUGUAAAUAUGAACGGAACUAACGUUUUUUAGGAAUGUUCGGAAAAUAGAAUAUCUUUAGGGAAUACAUUAAUAUCACCGAAAGUUGGCAAGAAUAUAAGAAAGAGGUAAUGUAAAAAAAAUCAAUAUUAAAUUCUUGCGUUGUUAUUUAUAUAUAUGUUAUUUUUUAAUAAAAAUAUUUUUGCUACAGGUAUCGUUAACCAUUAAAUUAAAAUCAAUUUUAUAUUAAUAUUAUAAAAAUAUUAAAUAUUGGAUUAUUGUUCUUGGGGAUGAGAAUAAAAUAUGCUAAAAAAUUAGUUUGGUUUAAAAAAAAACCCAGAGAAAAUAUAUGAUAAUCUUUUGCAUGGGAUGCGACUUGUAUAUAAACAUUCUUAAUUGUUACUCAGAGAUUCAUGUUUGCACCCAUCUUUUUAUUACAAUAUUUGAUUAUACUCUCGUUUAAUCCCGUGAUUAUCUUUUAUAUUCACUAAUUUUACGAAAGGUGACAUGCAUGACAAGAAAACUCAUAAAAAGUUUCUCGUUAUACAUUGGUCCUUUUUUCUUUCUUUCUUGACUUUACGUUGCUCAUUAUAUUCCAAGUAUAAACAUGCCAACAUUGCAUUAACUAACAAACUUACGCAGAAUAUGAAAAUGAUAAAAAAAGAGUUAGCUUUUCUUUCAUUAGAGUAGUCUCAAUAUAUAUAAAUGAAUUACAAACAUACCAUCUAGUUUGUUAUAACGAAAUUCGAGAUAUAUACAAAUAUUUAUUUUAAUCAAGUCAUUUAUAUCCACAAAUUACGUUUGAUAAUAUCUGUUAAUUAUCCAUAAUAUAUCAUUGUAAAUUAUUAAUUUAUAUAUAUAUUAUGAAGGUUUGAAAAAUAUAAUUGAAUAUAGUCAAGUUGACUGUAAUUAUAAAUAAAAAUAUAGUAUAGAGUAGUGAAAAUAUUUUCUUAUCCAACUUAAUUUCUUUUUCGUCCGUUCAUAAAAGAAAAAACAAUAGAAAAAGACGUUUCAAUACUUUUGUAACAAAUUAAAUCAUUUCUAAAUAAGAUCAAAUUUAAUACACCCUUUACGUAGUAUCAAAAUCAUACUAAAAGAAUCUAAUCAUAAUUUAUUUUUCUUCAAUACUGAAGUUUGGUAGAGCACAUAAAAUAUGUGUACCUCAAUAAAUUAAAUAAAAUUUCAUGUUUGUCUAACUUUCCCUUGUUGCAUCAUCAAAAAUAGUUAACAGCUUAUGUAAAACCUCCCGAAGAAUAAAAGUACAACUAAAAUUGACAAUCUAACUUGUCCUCUCUCACCCCAUCAUUAUAUUAAAUCGGAUUAAUAAUUAAAUUAUAAAACUACAUACAGAUUGGCCGCCGCUGGAUUUUAGAAAACAAUUCUAGCUACUUCUGGAAUAUGAAUAAUAAAUUUGUUGAUGGGAACACGUCUAAUUACCCUAAAUAUUAGGGUGGUAAAAAGUCCAACUAACUUUUCCUCAUAUCACUAUAUCACUAUACAUAUUUAUGAUUACAUACAUUUCAACGAAAGUUUUAACAUUAUUCAAAAAUUGUAUAUCCAUAUGGAUUUAGCUCAAUUUUUUUAAAUAUAAAAUGCUAAUUAGUUUUUUAUAAACAAAAAGACCAAAGCAAAUAAAGCUUAAUAUAACUAUGUAACUCAUAAUAAUGUUAAGUGGUGUAUUUAAUUUUAGGGGUGUAUAUAAACUUGUUAUUAAAAACAUCAUUUUAUCAUUAAAUGUUAACUAAACCUACCUAAAUCAUAAUUAUUGUUUAAAUUAUUAAUAAUAUCUCUCAUAUCAACUAUAUAAAUAAUACAUCACUAAAUAUCUUUAUUAACAUAUAUUAAUUUUAUUUUUGUGUAAAGACAUUAUUUUUGAAUUAUUUUCAACACAGCUUUCAUUUAACAAUGUUAAGUAAUUCAAACUAUUUUUUAGAAGGGGGCUGUUAUACAGCCACCGUUGGAUAGGGAACCACCGGGCGGUUGGAUGACAAAGACUCCUCGCAAUGAAACAUUGCGGUACUCAAGACCCCGCAAUGUUUCAUUGCGGGUACUUAAGUCCCUGCAAUGAAACAUUGCGGGUACUUCAGUCCCUGCAAUGUUUCAUUGCGGGUAACUCUGAAACAUUUUACUUCCCUAAACUAUCCUUCCACUACUUUAGUUUUAGUUAACAUUUUUACUUUCAUUUUAAAUUUUAAAUUAUUUUUAUUCAUUUUAAAUAUACUAUUAUCUUCAUUAAUUCAAGAUAUAUAUCUAUAUUAAAAUUUAAAUUUAAAUAUUAUUAAUCAAAAAAAUUAUAUCACUAGAAUGUAUAAUAAUAUUAAAUUAUUUGUAUAUCACAAAUAUUUUAAAAUAUUUAAUUGUUUAUAAUUUUAAAUUACAAAAUUAUUUUUUCUUAAUAUUUUUUGAAAAUUUUAAUUAUUUUAUAUGUUAUAUUUGUUUAAAAUUUUAAUUUUAAUUAUUAUACUAAUACAUUAUAUCACCCCGCAACGAAAUUAUUUGUAGACUUGCGACUAUCCCAUCUCCCAUCCCCGCAAUGAAACAUUGCGGGUACUAAUACUCCCCGCAAUGUUUCAUUGCGGGUACCAAUACACCCCGCAAUGUUUCAUUGCACAGAACUUUUACUCCCCGCAAUGUUUCAUUGCACAGAACUUUUACUCCCCGCAAUGAAACAUUGCGGGGAUCGUAAUUAAUGUUUUUACCUACCAGUAACAACAAAAUUACUCUAUCACCUUCUCUCAUUUCAUUUUUUGAAUUUAAUUUAUUAUUUGUUGUUUGAUUUUUUUUAUUAUUAAUGUAAUACAUUAUGUUUUUGUUUGAUAUUAUUUUAUUAUGAUUUGAAAUCAUUUGAAUUUUUAAAAACUUAAAUAAAAUAUUAAUUAAAUUUUAUGUUUUUUGUUUUGAAAUUAUUUUAUUAUAAUUCGAAAUCAUUUGAUUUAUUAUUAAAAUAAAUUAUAUUAUUAAUUAAAGUAUGUUUUUAAUUUAGUUUUUAAUUUUUUGGUAUUGUUUUAUUAUUAUUCGAAAUCAUAUGAAUUAUUAUUAAAAUUAAAGUAUAUUAUUAAUUAUAUUAUAUAAUUAAUUUAAUUUCUUUUUACGAAAUUGUUUUAUUUAUUCGAAAUCAUUUGAGCUAAUAUUAAAAUUAAAAAAUAUUUUAUUGUUUAUAUUAUUAAUUAAAUUAAAUUAUUUUGUUAUUAAUAUAAAAUUGAAUUUUUAUAACCACAAUUUUUAAAUAAAUAUAUAACAAAAUAACAUUCUUAUUCAUAAUGUCAAAUUAAUAAGAAAUAAAAUUAAGUUAAAUUACCAAUUUCAAUAUACAAUAAAAUUUAUUUAUUAUUUAUCAUUCACAAUGUCGUAGAAGCGGAAGGUGCAGUGUUCGAAUCGUGAGUCAUGUGCCUUGGAGUAUAACAUACUCCCCGCAAUGAUUCAUUGCGGGGUAUCUUUUAAAAAGUAAACUACCCGCAAUGACUCAUGGCGGGUGUCUUUUAAAAAGUAAAGUACCCGCAAUGACUCAUGGCGGGUGUCUUUUAAAAAGUAAAGUACCCGCAAUGACUCAUGGCGGAUGCCUUUUAAAACAAAUACCCUAUCCACCUCACUCAGCCACCUUUCAAAUGAAGAUAUAACACCCCACAAUGAUUCAUUGCGGGGUACAUAAUCCCCACAAUGUUUCAUUGCGGGUAUGAAAUUUAGGUAAACUGUCACCGCUAUGCUUCAUUGCGGGGAAGAUAAUAUUACUUUUUUUAUUCAAAAUAUUUGAAAAAGUUCAAUAAAUUGUAAGAAUUUAUUCAACUUUAGCUAGAAAAUAUUAAUACAUGUGUUCUUAUUAAUAUUUAAAUAAUUUAAGUGACAUUUAAUAAUAAUUUAGAUAUUUUUCUUUGAUUUGUAUUUGUUCGAGUAUAUUUGAAAAAACUACUUGUACAUACGAGAAUUGGAAAAAGUUAAUAAUUUGUCAAAAAAUAUUAAAUUCUAGCAAAAAAUACUAAUUAUAUGUGUUCUUACUAAUAUUCAACCAAUUUAAGUGAUGUUUAUUCAUAAUUUCGAUAUUUAUCUUUGAUUUGAAUAUGUUCGAGUACAUUGAAAACACUACCAGUACAAAAAGAGAAUUGGAAAAAGUGAAUAAUUUGUAAUAAAAUAAUUCAACUUUAGCUACAAAAAGUUAAUUAACCUUAAAAGAGCAUGUGAGCUACAUAGUUCAAACAUGUGUUCGAUAUAUUUAGGAAACAAGCAGUAGUAUUCAAAUAAGUAAAAUUAUUAGUAUAACAAAAUGACAUAAAAUAGUUAAUAAGAUAAAAAUAUAUAGAAAUUAGAUAGAAAAUUAUUCAUAUAUUGUACUAAGAAAAAUCAAAAUUUUCUCUUAUUUCUAACCUUAACAAUAUAUUUUUUUUUUGACAAACCUUAAAAAUAUUUUUAGUUUAAUUAAAAAAUGUUAAUGAUAACAAUUUAAUAUAAUAAACUCUACAAGGCAUAUGAUAUGUGAAGGAAGGGGUAAAAGGGUCCAGGGAAACAUUGCGGGGAUUUGUAUACCCGCAAUGAUUCAUUGCGGGGUCUUUCAUACCCGUAAUGUUUCAUUGCGGGGUUGCAAUAUUUCAUUGCGGGGAGCCUUUUUUUUAGCUGUAGGAUCACAAAAUGGAGGGACGUGAUCUGGUGGCUGGAAACCGGACCCUAUCCACCGGUGGCUGUGGACCGGUUUCCUUUUUAGAACACGUAUUCUUUUCACAUUUUAACUUGGGUACAUUUUCGUAACAUUAAAAUUCUGAGUUAACCUUAGUCAACUUAAUUAAAGAUCGUAUAAUUGGAGCCCUAAGACAAGCCUAAAUUCAUUACACAAUAAUUCACUUCCUCCAUUUCUUUAUCAUUGAAUUUUUCAUGCAAAAAAAAGAUAUGGACAUCCAAAAAUAUUAAAUCAUUGAUAAAAAUAUAUUAUAAUUUAAAUUUUAGAUGAUAAAUUUUGAAUUAUAUAUUCUCUAACGUUCAAAAAACUAGUAUAUAUAACGAUAUCAUUUAUAAAUUAAAAAUGUAUAAUAGUACUCCCUCCUUCCCAUUUUAAUUGUCCACUUUGUUCAAAUCACACAUAUUAAGAAAUAUUAAAUGUGAUAUGUUGUUACCAUUGUCAUGCAUAGAUUAUACAAAAAUAGUACUAAGUUUUCAUUCAUUAUUGUUGAAAGUCAACAUAAUUUACAUUGUAAAUCAUGAAAAUUGUAUGGGAUAACAAAUGCUAACAUUGAAAGUUGUAUAAAUUUGUAUUGGACAAAGAAGAUGGACAAAUAAUAUGGGAAAUUUUUUCUUAACAAAGUGGACUAUUAAAAUGGGAAGGAGGGAGUAUCAUUUAUUAAAUCUAACAGUAGAUCGAGUAGAGAGAGAUAUUAUUAUAAUUCCUUAAAAUUGUCUACAUUUUAUGUGAUUCUUGAAUGGUCACUCCUUCGAGUGGGUGUGAGUUGUGACAUGAGCCACCUCAUGUUCACGAGGUUAGAUAGUACUAUUAUCACAAUAACGUAGGGUAUAAAUAAAUUUAUAAAAUCACAUAGGUAAGAAGCUUCUUGACUUUUGAAUUUAAUUAAUUUCAUGGAAGAGUCACCCCGACCUCCAUACUUUUGUUUUCUCUUUUUCUAUUCGCGCGCUUCUGUGCAAGUUCAGCUAAAUUGUCCGUUCGAUCAUUAAACCCCAUAAUUUAAUUAGCUGGAAUAUUCGUUCAUAUAUUAAGUUAAUUUUUGUCUGCUGUAGUCUAGUAAUAUUAAUGUAAUAUUAGACCAAAGUCAACAUCCGAGACAAAGAUAAUGGGACGAACAUUUAACAACCUUUUCCUGUUGUCCUUGAUUACCAAAAUACAUUCUUUGUUUUUAGUUAAAUUAUAACAUGAAUACAAUGACGCUUCGUGUACGUGAUACUCCUCAAGGUUGGUUCGGCUUAGGUGAUAUGGGGUUUAGGUGAUGUGAGGUUGGAAUAAAUUAUGGAUGGUUGGGGAUUAAGGUGAAUGAAUUGUUUGAUUUAAAGUACUAUUGUAAUAAUAUGAAUUGAAUGACACUCUUACAAACUUCUCGUACGCUCCUCUGAGUUCUGAAAACACGUAUAUACAUAUGUUGGAAGUUUGAGGCAAUGAUACGAAAAUUAAAAAAUUCAAACAAAAUUCUUCUAAUAUGUCAUUAUAUAGAGUAUUUAUAAUAUUAUAGAAUCACUAGCCAAAAAUCUAUAUGUAUUAUAGAAAAUAAAAUUUAAAUAUAAUAUGUAUAAAUUUGAUUAUAGAAAUUCCUUAUCCAUAAAUCAUAAUCUUAAGCGAUCAAUCUCCAUAUAUUAGCCAACCUCAGCAAACAUGCAGAAAAGUCUCACAACAUCUAUUAUAAUAUAACAUAUUAUUUUUAAGAUUUCGCGUCAUAUAUUAUUAUGCUAAAAUAACAUAUUUUAUUUAUAACAAUUUGAAAUAUUAAUAAUAUGAAAUUUUUAAAAUAGAAUUCAACUAAUAUUAGCAAUAACAUGGUAGUAAAAUGUAUUGUAGUGGUAGCAAAUUUUCUUAUAUUCAAUUUAAUCAACCAUUCCUGGUCAACGAGAUGCUUUCUCCAACCAAAAUUGACAUGGUAAAAGUAAAAUUUAUAAAUAAUAUGUAUAAAUUUUACUAGUCCAUUAUGAUACAAAAAUGAAAAUCUUUGUCAAUUAUUAUAAUUAAAUUUCGUGUAUAUUUGACCAACCUCUAGAACUAGACCUAGAACAAUAUUCUACUUCAUCUAAUUUCAUAUUUAAAAUAAUAUUUUUUUUUAUUUAUAACAACUUGGAAGAACAAUUAUAUAUCAUUUUUAGAUUAUAGGUAGUAUCAUUGAAUCAAAAUGUAGGGGUGAUCGCGGUGCGGGCGGUGCGGUUUUUCGCUAAAACCGCGAACCAAACCGCGCAUGCGGUUUGGUUGAAAACUCAAACCACAACCGCACCACGCUAGCAUAAAAACCGCGUAAACCGCACCACAAAAAUGCGGUGUGGUGCGGUGCGGUUUGUGCGGUUUGUAUGCUUAAGAAUAAAUAUUUUAGUUGAAGUUCGAAAUAAAAUUUAAAUAUACAAUAAUUAAAAUCUUUUCUUGUAAUGAAUUUAUAUGAUAUUUAUCAUUUUAAAACUACAACAACUAAUAAAAAACACAAACAAAAGUGUAAAUAUGAUAAUAAAUAUGAGUACUAACUACAAAGAGACAUAUUAUAAUAAUAUAAUCAUUUCAUACAAAUUUGGUAUAAUAGUAAUGCGAGAUUGAUAAAAUAAUAUUUAACUAUUAUUUGAAGAUAUUUAACAAAUAUAUAUAUAACAUAAUUAUAAAUAAUAUAUAUGUAUUUAAUAUAUUUUUAUUUGAUAAUCACUAAUAUAUAUAUACACAUAUAUAUAUUAUAAUAUCGCGGUGCGGUGCGGUUUGAACCGCACUACUAAUAUGUCAAACCGCAACCCGCACCGCACCGCGCGGUUUGUGAAAAAUUCAAACCGCAACCGCACCACAAAAAUUAAAAACCGCGUUUUGUGGUGCGGUUUGGUGCGGUGUGGGCGGUUUAUGCGGUUUGGGCGGUUUUCUGAUCACCCCUAUCAAAAUGUCUUAUAUAAUUUAUAUUGUAUUACAUGUCCAAUUUAACCAACUAUUUUUACAGAACUCAACAUGUUAGACAUAUCUCUUUCGUUAGAAUUAAGUUAGUAUCUAACAUAUAUCGUUUUUGAAAAUACUAAAUAUUUAAUUUUAGAAAGAAAAUAUCAUAUAAAUAUUAAAAUUCUUGAAAUAAAGGAUUAUUUUUGCAAAAUAAAGACGACACAAACACCUUCUAUAUACUACCACGCUAAUUAUGUUUAUUAUAAGUUGCCUGUAUCAUAUUGUAUUAUCCUUUUUAAAAAUUAAUUUCACAAUACAUAAAUAAAAUUUAGUUUCAAACUUUUUAUGCCUAACUCCGUAAAAUCAUACUUCUACCAUCUAGGAGUAGUACUGCUAGGUACACAAAAUUUUGUCUAACAUCGACGCAUUUUCAUUGAAAUUGUUGAUAUAAAUACAGAACACAUAAAAUUACACAAUAAUAUAUCCUAAGCAUUUUUUUUUUUACGUAGGAACCCGCAACCGCUACUGGGUAAACCCACGAGCUCACGAAUAGCCUAUAUAUGUACCUACAAUAUAUACACACCGUAAAAUGCAAUUAGUAGCCAAUUUGAUAUUACAAGUGUCUCGCUUUCAUCUCAGCUAGUGUAUAAAAAAUUCAUCAAACACCUAGACCUACAAGUCUUUUCCCCCACCUCAAUAUAUACCAAAGCUCAUCAUGAAGUUGCGCAACUUUGAACUUCAAGGAAGAUUUAAAUCAACAUCAUCUGUUACACCGUCACACUCACUCUCUUUCACAAAUCGCAACCUUAAACAUUCAUAUUUUUCUUUCGCGUAUAAAAUACUUGGCAUGCAUGUUUCCUAUGUAUGUGUCGUCUCUUCACACUCUGGUGCUUGCAUAAAUUAGCAUAAACUUGCCACGAAUUCUGAGAACAAUUCGUUCUAGCUUCACCAAUUACUUCUUCCUACUUCUGCUUAAACAAAAAGAGAGAGAGGGAGAGAGUGGGGGAGAGAGAGAGGGAGGGAGGGAGUGGGAGAGAGAGAGAGUGGGUGGGAGAGAGUGGGGGAGAGAGAGAGAUAUAUAUCAAACCAAAGACUUGUUACUGCGUUACCAUUUGCAGUUUGCCGCAUCUGCUGUAUAUAAAGGUAAAUAUCUAUGGUCCAACUUUGUUCAUACAAGUACAUGUAUCAGCGUAUGCAUGGCCGUAAAUUUCAAGAAUAUUUUCUCACUUUAUUUUGUUUCUUGAUCAGCUAAAUUAUUACAAUGAGGAUAUCAUUUUCCGCUUGCAAACAAGCCCAGCCCCUGGUGAACUUUCGCGGGGAUGUCCUAAACAUGGACGCCUUCAUGCCAUGGCUCAAAAAGGACAAAGUCAUAAUCCUGAUGGGAGCAACAGGGACCGGGAAAUCAAAACUCUCAAUCGACCUCGCAACUCAUUUCCCCGCCGAGAUCAUCAAUUCCGAUAAAAUUCAAGUCUACCAAGGCCUAGAUAUCGUCACCAACAAAGUUACCAAAGAGGAAUGUCGCGGCGUGCCGCACCAUUUACUAGGCGUAAUCAGUCCGGACUCCGAUUUUACCGCAACAGAUUUUCGGCACCACGCGUCCAUAGCGGUCGAGUCCAUAGUGCAACGCGACCGCCUCCCUAUCAUAGCCGGCGGCUCCAAUUCCUUCAUCAAGGCUCUUGUAAACGACGAAUUUAGAUCAAGGUACGCUUGUUGUUUUCUCUGGGUUGAUGUGUCACUCCCCGUUCUCCACUCAUUCGUAUCGAAUCGCGUUGAUAGAAUGGUGGAAUCGGGGCUAAUAGACGAGGUGAGGCAGUUUUUUGAUCCGGAUUCGGAUAAUUAUACGCGAGGAUUGAGACGUGCAAUAGGAUUGCCAGAAAUGGACCGGUUUUUUCGAGCUGAACCGAAUGUGGAUGAUGAAACUAGAGUUGCUCUACUUGAUAUGGCGAUUGAUAAAAUAAAAGGCAAUACUUGUAGAUUGGCUACGUACCAAUUGAAAAAUAUUCGGACGCUACAAAAACAAAUGGAGUGGCACUUGCACCAUUUGGAUGCUACUGAGGCUUUUUUAAAGCGCGGCCAAGGAUCCAAUGACGCGUGGGAGAGGCUGGUGGCGCGGCCUAGUAAAGCAAUUGUUGAAAGUUUUCUCAAUGAAGAAGAUUCUGCCGCAACUCCUUCGGUGAAAAUUACUGCCGCCUCACUUCUCGGAGCUGGUUCCGCUAUUGCAACGACCACCUCUACGGUUGUGGCAGCAAGUCGCUGAGCAAUUAACGUCAGUUAAUUAUUGAAGUGGUUAACAGUUUAUUCUCUGUUGAUCGAGGUAAAAAAGUGAAUUGCUACUUGGAAAAAUAAAAAAGGAUAAACUCCUUCUGCAUUGGCAUAAAAAACUGUACAAAAAUGAGUGACACGGGUGGAGUACAGACCUAAACUGUGGUAUCCAAAGGGGUUGCUUUCAGGUGGUUAAGUUUUGUGUCCGUACAGGUGAAAAUCAUUUUAGUAAUCCGUGCAGGGGUGGGUUUAAACUUUAAUGUAAUGAAAAGAGUACAAAAAAGUAUUCUUGGGCGCUCCAUUUUGCGGGUAGAGUUAUUCGAGUUGUGUGGGGCCUUGUCAAAUGACAUCCGGUCCUUGUCAUUCAGAAUUCAGAUGUAGGGAGAGUGCGUGUGGGCUUUUUCUGGAUUUGUGGUGUGCCAUGCAUCAUUUCAGUUUUGAUAGAGCUGGACGUAAAUAUUCUUGUGAUGUUGUGAAUUGACAAAUCCAUCUUUUCAUUGUGACAAAUGUACUUGUGUGUUUGUUUUAUGCAUGAAUAUGUGCCGGGACUUGAAAGAUCGCAUCUAGUAUUUGUAUGCAUCAACAUGUUCAUGUGCUUAUCACUACUAAUUAUGUACUAAUUAAUUGUUCAGUUUCAUCGCACAAAGUAUAUUUUGUAACUUGCAGGAGUGAGUUAGAAACACUGACAGGUUGAGAAAUAAUGUAUAUUUUGAUUAUGAGACCGUUUGGGUGAACUUAAAAUAAGUGCUUCUUGCUUAAAAUAUAAAAGUGGAGUAGAAGUUAGAAGCAAGUUAAGACUUAUAAGUGAUUAAAGUGCUUGGAAAAGAAGUAGAAAUCCUGAAACAAAAGUUAGCAUUCCAAGCUUUUUAUAAGUGUUUCUUGACUUUUUACACAAACGGUACGAAUAAGUGCUUAUAAUUUAUAAACCAGAAGCUGGGCUUUUAAACUCUAAACAAUCACCACCUAUAAAUCAUACUCACAGGUUCAUCUAUUUUUUGACAAACCAUCCCCCUCCUAUAAAUUCUUAUAAUCAUAUAUUUAGUAGUUUUUAACAAACCAUCCACUACCUAUGAUCUUGUAUAAUCAUAUAUUUAGUAGCUAUCUAGGUGUGAUUAAUUUAAAAUUUGAAAAAAAAAUGUGUUUUGUGUACAUCUAUAUUCUGAACUUUACACACCACUUGUAAUAUUAUAUAUCUAAAAUCAAUACUUGCUGCCUCUUCAAAAUUUCACAUAGUUUGUGUAUUUUCAUCUGGUGUUGCUAAUAAUGUUGUGUUAAAAUACUAAUAAACAGGUUUUAAAAUGUAUUUUAUGUAUCUGCACUUUGAAUUUCAUAACACUUCGUAAUAUUGUUGUAUUCUGUUUUGCUAUCGUCUAUUUAUAUUUGAACUUAUUAUCCUUAAUAUAUAGCAUCUGACGAAAGUAUACUAAAAAAUCUUGAAGUGAAAUAUUGUAAUAAAGAAUUUCAAAGUAUUGCAAUCGUUGUAAAAUUAAAACAUAGAUACAUAAAAUGCACUUUUCUGCGUAAAUUACCAUGUGAUACCAGACUAAAGUUCCGUGUGAAUCUUUAGGGAACCCCGUGUGAAUCAGUAUGGCUCUUUACAGCUAGUGCUAAAUGUAUACGAUUCUCACUAUACAACUUAAUGUUCUCCUUUUGUCCAAUUCUUUCCAAUUUAUUCCUGAUUCGACGAGAGUACGUACCUUAGCGAGAACUAAAAACAUAAUAGCAUCUCCAAUGGUGCUCCAAAAUCAUUCCUUAAAGUAUAAUAAAAAAUGUGGCUCUUAGGAAGUUAAUACAUCGGAAAACGUGAGAACUCCAAUGCUACUCUUUAUAGUUAGCUCCUAAUUCACAUUUUAUAUUUAUUUUAUAUAAAUGGGAGGAAAAAGUUAAAUAAAAGAGAGAGAAGAUUGGAAAGAAAAUAAUAUUAUAUUGAGUUAAGAGCUACUAGAUGCUCUUUAAAAGAAAAGAGAGAGAGUAACCUCCUAAAUUUUUAAAAAGUAUCUAGGAGCCCAUUGGAGCACUAGAUUUUGAUUUGCUCCUAAAAUUUGGACUUAGGAGCUUGUUUAGGAGCCCAUUGGAGCACUAGAUUUUGAUUUGCUCCUAAAAUUUGGACUUAAGAGAACUAGAUUAACACAGUAUCCUCAUGCAUGCAUGCAUAGCUUACACAAAAGAGUUUGGAAGAGUCCUUCAAAGUUCAUAGUCUAAUACACUGCAGUCUCUCUUUAGAAACAUGCAAGUCUUGAUUCUCUCAAAGAGUUCUCCAUUAAAAGACUAAUUAUUCAUUCCAUCACGAUUGUGUAUUAAAUUGAAAAAAAAUUGGAAUCUAUGGAUAAAGGAACAUAGUUCACUCAAGUGAGAAGAGUUGUAUCUCCCCACUGACCUCUUUAAGCUAAAUGAUCCUAAUCAUAUAUUAUAUUAUACUAAUAAGAGGUUAUGAAAGAUGCCCACCAAGUGAAAUCAAAGGCCUUGAUAAAAAGUGUACAUAUAGGCCUUGAUAAAAAGUGUACAUAUAUAUGUAUGAAAGAGAUUUUUUGUUCUCACACUUUCACAUAAUUCCACAAAGGAAUAGUCAAAUCAAUCUUUUGUACAAGUAGCUUAUUCGAAAAGAGAAAAAGAAGAAAUGAGUUCUAAUGUUCAUGUGUGUAUUGUCUCUGUCAAGAAAUAUUUUUAUAUAUGAGAGACUCAUGGCUUGAUAUUCCAAUUACUUUUCAAAAUGUAGAUAAUUAUUUUAUUCAUCAUGCCCCUUUGUUAAGAAAUAUCUUUUAGUUAAGUAUAUUAUCAUUUAGACAUAGCAUAUGUUUCCUUUUCUUCACCAAAAUAUAAUAUCUUGUACUCAGGACUUUUUAAUAUGAGUUAUAGACUACUUUCAAAAAAAAAAAAUAUGAGUCAUAGACUAAUUAAUACCUAGACUCAAUGUCGUAAAAACGGAAAUCUGACUUAAUCAGUUAAUACACAAAAAUGUCGGUGUAUAAUUUUUUUGAAUAUAUAUUACACAUAAUAUGUAUUAUUAUGCAUAAAAUUAUUUAUAAUUACUUUUACUAAUAAAAUAGAUAUUGAUAUAAAUCAAUACCAUUGAAUUUCCUUUGUCCUUGUUAUAUUGGGAAUAUAAAUUUAUAACUCAAAUAUUAAUUUAUUAUGUAUUAUUAAUUAAUUUAAUAUUAAUUCAUCAUGACUUUUUAAUUAGUUGUUUACUAAUUAAUGGAGAUUCUACCAUACAAGUUUCAAUUAUAAAAUUAUCUACCAGAUUAAGAUGUUCUUUAUUUAAAGAAUGUAGAAAUAAUAUAUGGGCCUAGAAGUAUAAAGUAACCACCAAAUCGAGUUGCACCCAUUCUUUGGAUCAAGGCUUGCUAUAAUAAUCUACUAAGUGAGAAUUUUUAUUCAGAGAAAUCCCGGAUCAGUGAUAAGGAUAAUCCUAAACUAUAUCCUAUUUUCCAGAAACGAAAAAAAAGGCCCAGAAGGUAAAAGAAGAUAAGUGCAGAGACUGCUGUUCUAACAAAUGGAAUGAUCUAUGGGUCAGGUGACAAAUCUCCUCCCUUUUAUGUUUGGGCCACUUUAUUGUUUUAUACUAAAUUUUUUUGUUAGUCCCACUGAUUUUAAGUUUUCUGGGCUUGUGGGUUUUGGUUUCUCANAAGAGUGUUGUGGCUUGUGGGUCAUGGACUGCGUUUGAGGAUGGCUCUCAUAUAAACCCAGUAGAGUGGAUCUAAUGGGCUGUGGCAAACGAACUAACAUUUGGGCUUUCAAUCUGCACAAGAAAAUAAAAUAGAAUGUGAAAAUGGGAAAGAGUUUUAUUGUUGGAGCCAAGAGACUCUCCCUCCUGCAGUAAUUUCUUUUUUGAGGAUACGAAAUGCUACGAUAAAAUUUCGACAUAAAAUAUCAUUUAUUUAAAUUUACAUAUACGAAAUAAAAUGCCAGAUUUACAUGAGUAUCAAUCGAUAAGGAUGAACAUGAAAAGCUGUGCGCUUUGGCACAAUAUGAGUGCAUAUGUAAUCAUCUACGCAAGAACUCGUUUUCAAGUUGUGUAGCAUCAGUCCAUUCUGAUCAAGAAUAUCCAUUCAAAACGAAAAAUCUCAAUAUUUAAUUCGAACCUCUUAAAUCCAAGCACGAGAAAAACUAACUACAAUAAUAAUUAAUUUGAUCGAAAAAAAUACCUGUUAUAGAUGGUUAUCAGUUUCAUAUUUCAAAAUCUUGAAAUCCCGAGAUCUCGAAAUAUCAUCUUCGCUUUAUUCACGAGGAUUAACAACAUUUUAGUAACGUUUCCGCAACUCCCGAAAAAAAAACCCAAAGGGGCCUACAGAAAGCGAUGCACACCACGGCACAACACGUGUAUUUACACACUCCUGAUAUAUCCAUAAUAAAAUAUACUCAUAAUAUACAACACACACAGUCACACACCGGACCGGAGAAACACUGUUACACAAACAUCUACACACAAAUUAUAGAUUAUAUACAUACAGAGAUGAAGAAGCUGACGAAUUGGCUGUUGAUAAUGGCGAUGAGGCCGAGACUGACCGGAGAGGAGUCGUCGUCGAUAGAAUUCGGGACGUUUUUGUGGUACGUGUACGCCGGAGUUUCGUGUGCGCUUGUUCUGUUCGCCGGAAUAAUGUCGGGGCUUACCUUGGGAUUGAUGUCGCUCGGUCUCGUCGAGCUCGAGAUUCUCCAGCGGAGCGGUUCUCCCAAGGAGAAACAACAAGCUGGUAGUUUUUUUAUUCAAUUCUGCUUAAUUUGUGCGUGUUUUUGAAAUUUUGAGUUUGUUAGUGUGAAUUGUUGUUGUGUAUGUAUGUGUGAUUGUUUUCUGAUUGAUUGAUUAUGACUUGUGGAGUAUUGAAGUGGUGUUUGAUGUGAAAUGGAUUGUUGAAUGUGUGAGCUUGCGAUGUUUGGUUUCGAGACUAGUUUGUUGGAUUAGUAAAUUUGAUAGUUGGAAUUAGGCUGUGUAGAAAUGAAAUUUUAUGUGGCGAGAUAACUGGAUCAUAUGUAUGUUGCGGUGAAUGGCUUUGAGUAUGUUAGUAUAUUCUGUGUACUUGAUUUUUUGUUGAUUCGGUAUGGUAUGCCAAUGAUCACUUUUCGUGAAUUGGUUAGCUAUGAUUUGUAAGGAAUUCUUUAUAUCUGUGUUUGAUGAAACAGGAUCAUGAGUUAGUAUACGAUUUUAGGAAGAAAACACUGCUCUUUAGUAGAUGGAUUUGAGUAUGUUAGUAUAUUCUGUGUACUUGAUUUCUUGUUGAUUCAGUAUGGUAUGCCAAUUAUCACUUUUCUUGAAUUGGUUAGCUAUGAUUUGUAAGGAAUUCUUUUUUAUCUGUGUUUGAUGAAACAGGAUCAUGAGUUAGUAUCCGAUUUUAAGGAGAAAACACUGCUUUUUAGUAAAUGGCUUUCUGUAUGUUAGUAUUCUGUGUACUUGAUUUUUUUGUUGAUUCUGUAUGGUAUGCCCAAUUAUCACUUUCCGUGAAUUGGUCAGCUAUGAUUUGCAAGGAAUUCUUUUAUCAGUGUUUGAUGAAACAGGAUCAUGAGUUAGUAUAAAAACAGUGAUUUUCAUUUUAGAGCGGUUCUGUCACUAGCAUGCGAAUAUGAUUGCAUUAGAGUUGAUUAAUAUUUUUUUGGGGGCAUUGCUCUUUGCAGCGGUAAUCCUUCCAGUUGUUCAGAAGCAGCACCAGCUACUUGUGACGUUGCUCCUCUGUAAUGCUGCAGCCAUGGAGGUCUGAGAUAAUGGCAUCUUCACUUUUUAGUUGAUAUCUUUUUGGAAAAAAUUGAUAUCUUUUCUACAUGGCAUAACUCUGUUGUUUCUCUAUUUGAUUAUGUAAAUGAGUAUAAUAGAGUUGAGAUAUGUGUUUUGCGGUUAUUUAUACAUACCAAUUGAUUCUGAAUUAUGGAAUUAGUGAAAGUGAAAAGGUGUAAAACAAAGUUUGCUGGAGGAAGUGCUUACAUGAAAAUACAUUUCAACAAGUAGUCAAAAUCUUUCAAACAAGUGAUUUCAGUUGCCCGAGAAACAAUGAAGCUGAAUUUGUAAUAAGAUUGGUUAAUUUCAAACAGAUAUAGGACAACAUAAUAAAUUCAUAUGAAAGGUUUUCCUUUUCUCCUCUGAUGAGAAAUUAUUAUUUAUUAAGGUUUUAGGCUGUGACACAGGAAUUGAUAGAAUUGAAUAGAAUGUUAGCGAAGUUGCAUAAAUGGUUCGACCGCGCAAUGCGCAAAUGCCACUUACAAAUUUGGUGCGCUGGCACUUAAAUACAGUUGUCCUCGAGUUGACGCACUUGGAUAAAAAAUAGCAAAUGCAAACAUACCUACGUGGAAAGAAAAGUAUCUCCAGAUGUAACUUUUCUUCUACGGACAUUAAACAUGUCCUAGUUUAUUGUUGGCAUGAAUUUUGUACGCAUGCUUAAAAUUUUCAUUUGUUAUUAGACUAUAUAUUCUUAUCUACAUCGAAAUAGAUAUUUGUACAAACACUAUGCUGAUGUAUUUCUCAUUGUUUUACGAAAUACAGGCCUUGCCUCUAUAUCUGGAUAAGAUUUUCAAUCAGGUUGUGGCGAUCUUGCUCUCUGUAACUUUUGUUCUAUUCUUUGGAGAGGUAAAUUACUAUAUUCAUUGUAUAUUGUACAAGAGAUUAAUCGUUGUGGUUCUGUAUACAGAUAGAGCUUGAAUUUGUUUGUAAAUUCUACUUGUCAGGUUAUUCCUCAGGCAAUUUGUACUAGAUAUGGACUUGCUGUAGGUUCUAACCUUGUUUGGCUCGUGCGCUUUUUGAUGAUAAUUUGCUAUCCAAUUUCUUACCCUAUUGGGAAGGUAACGGGUCAAUUAUGCGGGAGUUUCUUUCCUUGCUUGUUCAAUGGUUAUUCUGUGCUAUGUGCUAUAAGAAAAGGAAAUAAAAUUAGACUUUUUAGUAACCUAAUAAACUCUUUAUUGCCAGGUUGAGUUGAUUUUCUUGGUCUGGUUUUUAAUAUAUAGUUCUACUUUACAAACUGAUAAGGGAGUUCUUAAAUUUAACUAAGCCGCGAUCUUGUUCCAGAUUCUUGAUUGGGUCUUAGGACACAAUGAAGCACUAUUUCGGCGAGCUCAAUUAAAAGCCCUUGUUUCUAUCCACAGUAAAGAUGUAAGUACAUCUUUUUAAUUAAAGUUGUACAUGUAUCGAAAUUCAAAAAAUGUAUAUUAUGAUCAACGAAUUGUAUAUUCCUCAAGUAGGCUUUAAGUGCUAUUUUUUCUUCAUGCCCUAAUAUGCUAUUUACGAAAAUUCAGGAAGGGAAAGGAGGUGAGCUUACACAUGAUGAAACAACGAUUAUUAGCGGUGCACUAGACUUAACUGAGAAGGUAAUCGUCACCUUGACUUCUCCUAUUAGAUUCUGGCCAGUUUUUCUCUAAAAGGUAGACAGAGGCUGAUUGCUACAUUAUCCCAGCACUUCGAAUGAACAAAUUUUCCAUUGAACUUUGGGCUUUUCAUUUUGAUGUAAAUCUUAGUUCUUGAUAAAAGGGCACAUCUGCAAUGUGUUGCAUACUUCUAGUAUUAAUUUUUCAUGUUUGUGACAGACUGCUCAGGAAGCGAUGACACCAAUUGAGUCAACAUUUUCUUUGGAUGUCAAUUCAAAACUGGACUGGUAUGUGUAUUUACUUGACAAAUUGAUAGAAUACUGUGUGUUGUGUCUUGUGGCUGUGAAAACCUGGGUGUGUUUAGUCAAACUGAUCAACAUAUCUGCAGUUUAUGUGUCUACUAUUUCUUUGUAUGUCAUGAUCACUGAAGUUUAAGGUUUUCAUCAUAAUGAUUAAUGUAUCUGUGUUCUUUUUAUUAACAAGUGCUGCAUCUUUGGUGUGGGAAAUUGAGCAGCUGAUUAUUGUGAUUUUAUGUUCACUUAUCAACUUGAUAUAACAGGGAGGCAAUGGGAAAAAUUCUUGCUAGGGGUCACAGCCGUGUUCCUGUAUAUUCUGGAAACCCGAAGAACAUAAUUGGUCUUCUACUGGUAUGUGUAUAUCCUAAAAAGAGGAAAAUUGUAGUGAGUGUGCGAACAGUCCUUCAAAUUAUAUCAUUCUUCAUAUGCAAUAGUGAUACAUCUAUACGAUAAGGAUAGGCUUUUGCUUCUCAUUGGAGAGAGAAAAAAAAGUUCUGAAAAAAAUUACAAUGUAAUUUAGGGUUUUGGACUUGUCUUUCGACUCGAAUUUACUUCUCUAGUCCCCUCUUUUCAUGAGAUACCUCCAUAUUUCACCAGAUUAUCGAGUUCAGUUUUUUCUCCAUUCUGGCUCUAGGUCUUUCUUAUUGUUCCUGUAGAUGAAUGUGCCAUAUAUAUUUAACUAUAUAUAUAGAGGGAAAAAGAGGAUUCAAAUGCGUGUAUAAAUAGGAAUAGUUAUUUAUGUGAUCUUUAAGUCUGUUUUAGUAAUUUACGGGUGUCUUUCAGGAUGAAUCUAAAUUUGUGACUCAGUAUAUUGCAUUCUCAUCAAUUACGACAUUUUCUAAUCUUUCCAUGACAUAUGUAUCAGGUGAAAAGUCUUCUAACAGUGAGGGCAGAAACUGAGACCCCUGUCAGUGCUGUUUCUAUCCGAAGGAUACCACGGUUAGAUCACUUGAUCUUGAUUGUAUCAUGCUUAUGUUCUUUUUGUUUAUCAGUGAUCAAGAUUUAUACAUUCUGAUCAUUUGCCAGGGUUCCUGCGAAUAUGCCUCUAUAUGACAUACUGAAUGAAUUUCAAAAGGGUAGCAGUCAUAUGGCAGCUGUUGUAAAAUCCAAAAAAAACAUGAAACCUCCAUCAGUGGAUGAAGAUAAAAUAAUGGAUGUAACAAUAACUGAAGAGAGUUCUCAGUCAAGUUCCUUGCUGUCUAAGCGGGAGAAGUUGGAUAGCGUUAUUGUUGAUAUUGAGAAAGCUCCAACUGGUGCUAAUGGUAACUUGCAGAUUGCUGUAAAUAGCGAUACAAAUAAUACUGGGAACACUAAUUUGAUAGAGGAGGUUGAGGAUGGAGAAGUUAUCGGAAUCAUCACUUUAGAAGAUGUAUUUGAAGAACUUCUGCAGGUAUUCUUCAUGAUUUAUAUUCUUCCCCCUUCCUCAAGCUCUUUGCUUCAUAAGGUCAUACAGUGCCAGCGGCUAGCACAUCUUAAUUCUUAUAUAUUAUUUUUUUAAAUGCAGGAGGAGAUAGUAGAUGAGACAGAUGAAUAUGUUGAUGUACAUAAAAGGUAAUUGGAUUACUUCGAAUUGCAAAAUUACUUAAUCUGAAAAGAUCUGAUGUUGACAUUGUUAAUUCUAUUAAAGCAUAUAGAUAUUUGAACUUUGAUGCAAUAUCUCUAAUUCUCUAUCUGUAGGAUACGCGUCGCUGCUGCUGCAGCUGCUUCUUCAGUGGCACGUGCCCCAUCAAUUCGAAAAAUGAAUGCCUUAAAAGGAGCUGUAAGUAUAGAUUAUUGCAUUAAAUUGAUUUCCUAAACUUGAAUACAACUGCGAAGAUGUUUGACUUUUUUAGAAUACUGCCUUAUAUCAUUACUUGCACAAAAGAUAGCACUAUAAAGCUCUUAAUCAGUCCAGUAUUUGAUAUUUAACAUGAUACAUUAAAUUUUAUAUUACUCAAUUGAUAUAGUGUUAUCCUUUUGGCUCACUCUUCAUCUCCAUCCUUUAGUCGUAGAAUGUAUCAUCCUCGGUGAAUUCAUUUUUUCUGUACUGUUAUGUUCCUUAAAAUCUGUAAGUGCUAAUAUUGUAUUUCAUCUAUUGCCAUUAUGAUCUGUGGCAGAACCUGGAAUUACUGGGAAUUUUGAUUUGUGUGCAUAAGCAUAGUUGCAAAGAUUCUUCAUUAUAAUUUUGGGUGAAAUGAACCUAACUGAACUUGAUGUCCAUUGUUUUGCAAUUUUUUUCCUAAAUGGUUGUGUGUUGUACUGUGGUUAGAUGUAACCUGAAUUUUGUGUUUCUUUUAGGGAGGCCAAAGUAGGAAAGGGAUGACUCCAGGGAAGGUAAAUGAAGACAACUCAAAUUCAACAGGGAUACAAGGAAGUCUAGCUGAGCCUCUGCUUGGUAAGAAACAAUGAGAAUUGUGUCGGAGUUUAGGUUGCAGGAUGAGUUCUUGGAGGGAAAUGGUUCAUAGUUUCAUAGUUGGGUGACUUGGGUCAUAGUUUCUGUAGACUAAGUUUAAGUUCUUCAAACAUGGAUGUUGUUGCCCUCGUGAUGUUAAGUUUAUAAUGGCUGCUUUCUAUGUGCUCUUGCAGUUGGGGUGAUUACUACUCAUUGAUGUAGUUGCAUCUUGAACCCAACUACAAGAGUUCUUAGGUUCAUUAUAAAGUACCAGUGUAUGUUUGAUGUAUGAAGAAUGUAGUACCUAAGGACAUGGGUUUUUUUUUUUUUUGGUAACAAAUGAUAUAUCAGUAUCAUUUGUUUUCCAGAUCACUAUAGGAUGAAAGAAGCUUACUUUUUUUUUAUCUAUGUUAGUUUUCCCUCUUUAAAUACAGUGUUGUUCUUGCUCCCCUGUAAUUUUUGCCGAAAUGUAAUAGUCAUCGUUAUUCUUCAUACACUAUGUAUGAAGAUACAACCCUAGAUAGGCUAUGGCAAUCACUCAUCGUUAUUCUUUGUACAUAGUGUAUGAAAAUACCACCCUAGAUCGACUGUAGCAAUCACUUUUGCUGUGAGUGAAUACAUACUUAUAGAAUGCCGUAGGUCGAAAGUUCUACUGAAGCAAGCUACUUAAAUGAAAAACCAUAUUCACUCCUACGAACCCAGAUUAUUGAAUUUUGUAAGUGGCUCUUUAUAAAAUUGAAUUUAGGUACUCGGGAGGGAGGUGUUUUUUCCGUGUGUCCAUAGGCAACUACAAAAAUCAGUAACAUAGAUUGAUAUUAUGCUUUUUAAAAUAGUUAUGUUACUAAAGUAUUUCCCAUUUAGCUAAUGAUCCUGAGUUUGCUUUACUUUGCAAAAACAUCCAAGUGUCAUGGGAUCAGGCAAUAAUACCGAGUCCGGUGUAUAAAAAACCCAGAGAACAGGGACCUGAACAGGGACUUGUCUAUACUUUGUUACGCUACGCUCAAAGCUUGCCAGAUUAUCUGGCAUGGGGUACGUGUACUAGUCUGCUGUUUGAUUUAAACUUGAUGACACAACUCUGUAUCAUACUCUUUUGGUGGCAUUUAUAAAAAGCUCUCUGUAGAUGUGGGUACAUGUGCGAACAUUGAUUUGCAAAAUUAUGCAUUCAUAUGUGAUCAUCUUUUGGGUAAAUUGACUUGGAGAAUUUAUUUCAUGAAAUUGAAUUAGAGUUAUCGGGAUAACAUACGUAUUGUACUAGUUGAUUUAUAAUGUAGUCUGUAUUUACAUGUGAAUUGGAAAAUUCUGUAUACUGUAUUUACUAAACUGGAUCCAUGUGUUCUGUUUUCUGAGGAAAAAGGAAACGUCAAUAAGAGAUAUAUGAAGUGAAUUAUAUGUGAAUUACUACAGACCUCAUUCCACAUAUUAUUUCGGCCAACAUGUAUUACUACAAGUAAAUACUUCUGUAAAUACAUAUUUAUGGAGAAACCCAUCCAACUGUUCACCUCUUCUUUUUCAUCUCUUUUUGGCAUAUUGAUCACAUCCUCAUAUUUAGGACGGUCCUUUUCAGAAGUAUUCUAUUUUUCAUUUAGUUUUGAUUUUGGGUUGAAACUCGAAAGAACUUGUAAUUUUUGUAACCACAAGAAAUUUCUAGGCACACUGGCCGUUGUUUCCUCACUCAGAUCAUAAUUAAACCCCGUAAAAUGUAUAUGUUUGCAACAUAUUUUAUGAAAAUUACCAUCUCGGAAGAAAACUAUGUAUUUAGAGUAACUCCAGCCGCUUCCCUAUUUGGAGUCUUAAAUCAAAAUAUAAGGAAUAUGAGAAAAUAAUCCACAACAGUAUCUUAGUGAUUCAGGGAAUCACUAAGAUCCAAUAGUCAUGUUAUCUUUAGGUAACCUCAUUCCUCUCCUAAAUCUUAUUUUAUAAUAAAUUUUGAAUACAAACAUGUUCUCUCUUCAACUAUUGCAAUAAUGGUAACUUUUAACAAUAAAAUAAUAUAUAAGUAAUGAAUAUAAGAGCAAGUCCAAGAGUGUCUUAGAGGAUGCCCUAUAUAAAUAAUAAAAUAUAAUGUCCUAGUAGUUUAGGACAUCACUUUUAUAAAUUCACUCCAACAAAAAGCCUUAUCCACAAGCCCUAUUAUUAAAAUAUUAAUAUUUUGAAUGAAAAAGUAGAGUGAAAAGUAGUGGGGAGAGAGAGAAUGAUAAUAUUUUAUUAUUAAAAGUGAAAUGAGGCUCAAGUAGGUGAGCCCUAAAAAUAGGGCUGAAGUAAGUUGUCCUAGUGAUUUAAGGCAUCACUAGGACACUGUUGGAGCAAUGUUUUCAAUCAAAUGCCUCAAAUUAUGACUUAGGACAUCAUUUGAGGCAGCUGUUGGACUUGCUCUAAGGAAUAUUGCUGGAGGUGAGAAUAGCUAUUAUUAUCUUAAGUCACUAGGAGCCAAUAUUUUAUAUUAUAUUUAAGGAAUGAGCUAAGAUGCUGCUGGAAAUACUCUUAGUAAGUGAAAUAUAUUCUAUAUAAAAUAUUAUUUGCCAAGGGAAUUUUAAUGUUGGUUUUGCGCAAUAUACAUAAUUUCGAAUAUUUUUGAUAAAAUAAUACUUCAUUGUCCCAUUUUGUAUGAAGCAAUUUAUUGAGUGUCCCAAAAAAAUACCCUUUCAUAUGACAUCUAUUUAACCAAACAUUCAUAAAAAAUAUUUCAAAUCUUUUCUAACUAAAAACAAGUAUAUGUAUUUCAGGUCUUUUUCUCAAAUAUUAAUGUAAAAUGGAAUAACAGCUUUAUAAAUAAAAACUAUUUCAUAAAUAAUAUAAUUAUUUAUUAUGAACUAACGAGAAUACAUGAAUUAAAAAGUAUAAUUAAAAAAUCAAAAUCAGUUAAAUUAAAUUUCAACAUUCAUAAAUAAUUGGGUUCCUUAGAAUAUCAUAUUCCUUAGAGUCCUUGGAGUCCCUGCUAAUCACCGUUAGAUAUAAUUUUAAUCCUACAGUUCAUAUAUAAGAUGGAGUUACUAAUUUUUAAAACAAAAAAAUUGUAUAAUUUUUUAAACCAAGCGUGAGUAUUUCACUGCUACCAACAAGAAAACUAAGUGGGCAAUUAUGAUUUUCAAAUUAAUGAACGUGGAUGAUAUUCUCGACAUUGCAAAGCAAAACGAUUUAGUUAGGCGAAGCUAUAGUCAUCUUCUCGAGCAAGACAUCACCAUCGGUGAGCGAGGACAUGCUAUCACCUUCAAUUGCACGAUAAAAUUCUUUUUUUUUGCGCUGCCAAAUCCUUAGAUGUAUGUUGUUGCAGGAAUCACGUGGCUGAUAUCCUGCAACUUGUUUGAUCCUGCAACACAGAUAUCAUUUUGACGUUGCAAAGCAGAUUAGUUUGGUUGGGCGAAACUAUAGUUCAUAUUCUGGAGCAGGUGAGCUAAGGUUUGCUAUCAUCUUCAAUUGCACGACAAAAUUAAUUUUUUUGUGCUACCAAUCCAAAGAGGUAUAUUUUUGUAAGAACUCGAAAACAAAUGAAGAAAUAAUUGAAAAGGUGCAGAACAUAAGCAAGAUAUCUUCAUUAUUAGACAUGUUGUUCGUAUCUUACAGAGAACGCCGUUGCAGAACAAACAGAGAAUCAAAUAACUCACUGACAAAAAGGUUGCAGAACAAAUGACAGGAUAAUAUCUAUCCCACAAACUCAACAACAAAAUAAAUUGACGCCACAAUCGUGGAAGAGAUAAGUGAGCGCUCAAUUUGUAAACAUAAUGUAGUUAAUGAUUUAAAUUUUAUAAAAUUCUAAUUAAACUACAACCAUUAGAUGAGAGUAAAAAGAAGGAUCAUGAUUGGGACUCCGAGAACUCCAAAUAAAAUAAGACUACAGAUAACUUUUGUCAAUAAAAUAAAUAUUAUAUUAAAAAUAUGAUAAAUUUGACUUUUACGCCAUUUUGGCCUUUUGGGUGAAAUUUGCCAUUAAAAUGGGCCGGAGACCUUAGCAAAUCACCCAAAAGCCCAAAAUAAUACACUUCCUCACCAAGCCCCACCCUAUAUAUUCACCGCUAACCAAUUUCUAGGGUUUUAGAGCUUCAAAACAGAGGGUGAGCAAAGCGGCGCUAACAAAAUGGUGAAGUUUCUCAAGCCCAACAAAGCCGUCAUCGUCCUCAACGGCCGUUUCGCCGGCCGGAAAGCCGUGAUCAUCCGCGCCUUCGACGAAGGCACUCGUGACCGCCCCUACGGCCACUGCCUCGUCGCCGGCAUCUCAAAGUACCCGAAGAAGGUCAUCCGCAAGGACUCCGCGAAAAAGACGGCGAAAAAGUCGCGCGUGAAGGCGUUCAUCAAGCUGGUGAACUACAACCACAUCAUGCCGACGAGGUACACUCUGGACGUGGAUCUGAAGGAUGUGGUGACGGCGGAUUGUCUUCAGUCGAGGGAUAAGAAGGUGACGGCGGCCAAGGCCACCAAGGCGAAGCUCGAGGAGAGGUUCAAGACCGGGAAAAACCGCUGGUUCUUUACGAAGCUUAGGUUUUAAAUUUCAAUUUGUGUUGGAUUAUAAGUUUUAUUGGAUGAUGACGUGUAAUGUUUUGGAUUCAAAUGUUGCUGGAGUUUCGGAUUCGUGAUAUGCUAAUUUAGAUAUGUUUUUGAUUACUUGUUAUUAGUAAUGCGGAAUUGGUUCACGAUUAAGUUGUAUCUGUGUUUUUCGUAUCGAAUGAUUCUAUCUAUUUAAAUGCAUAGUAAUGUAUUAGGUGCUGGUGUUUAAAUGUAGCUAAUUGUGAUCUGGGAGGUGGAUCUGUUUGCAUCAGGAACCCUCUAUUCUUUUCUGGUAUAGGCAAGGGGCAGCUUUCUUUUUUGUUAGUUGUCUGUUAUUAAUGCUAGACUUGUUUUUCAUGUUAUAUAAAUUAUCAGUUUUAUGUAAUUGUCAUUUUGCUUGCAUUGAGUUGAGAAUUGAAAUGAGGUGAGGAUAAUGAGAGAUUUUGAAUAAUGUAUGAGGUGCUGUGAUGAUUUUGCUUGUUCCUGAGUUGAUCAUAAAUAACGAGUGAUUGAUUCUGGCUAAAAUAUGGAGUUCUAUUUUUUUUCCGGAAGGGAAUGUGAAGAAUAAACUGGCUAGAGUAAAAAUUAUGGUCAAUUUUGUUUUUUAUGUUGGGUUCUUGAAAGUUGUAAACGAAUGCAAAGAAGAUUAGAGUUGGAUGAGAAAACUAAUUGAGCUAGAGUAAACUAAUUAGUUUGAUGAUUUCUAUGACAAGAAAGAAAUAACACAGUGUAAACUAUAUGACAUGACAAGUCUAUACUUGUUGUAAAGAGGUUGAAGAAAAACUGAGAAACAUUUGUAGAUUGAUGGGAUUAAAUUUGUGUAAUCAAACUAAAGAAUGUAUUAUUGCACAUACAGUAAUUGUUGGCAGAUGUGGUUUGUAUUCUGUUUGGCUAUUGCAUCAUUUUAACACUUCCAGAUUGAAGUCAUGUCAACAGGAGAAAUUAAAUUUAAAUGUUUACAAGGCAAUAGCCCCAUUGUAAAUGUGAGUGAUUGACGUUCAAUCUGUUUAUAAGAAUGUUUUUGUUUUCUUGAAAGUUUCUCACUAUAGGGUUGAUGGUACAGGGGUGUAAGAGUUUGCGAUUAUAUUUGUUAUUAUUGUUUUUUGUUAUAUUUUGUAUGGAAGUUGCUUCAUUAUAGUAUAUUUUUGGGUGUACAGUAUUACAAAAUUAUGCCUUGUCUAUAUGAAAUCUGCCUGGCUGUUUAUAUACAGUGAACCGGGGCUAGCAAUCUCGGGUAAUGAGUUGUUUGGUUCUGGUUGUAUACUUGGUCCUGUUUUUUGGUCAACCGGAACCUCCUGUUUUUGGGUUAACUGGGACCCGAAACAGGUUAAAAAUUUCAAUCUGGAGCCGACCUGUUCAUAAUGACCUGAGCCAAUGUAGAAUCUGAAUCUGGUUCAAACUUGAAACAUUGUAUGGAUAAAACGAGAUAAAAUGAGACAGUGAGUUGCUAAUUGUGUUUGUAAGUGUCUCAAUGGUGAUUGAGUUUUGAACAUGCAGAAAGACGGAAAUGCAGAUUCUGCUGCAAAUUCUACUGUAAGUACCACUGAUGACUGUUAGUAGUUAAUGGCUUUCACUGAUAAAUAUCUAGAUACUUUGUUAGUUUGUUUGGAUGAUUUGAGUAAUAUUUUUAAUUACUUAUGUUCAUGCUCAUUCUUCCAGAAACAGGAGGGCAUCCCCCCACGCAUGUUUAAAGCAGUGAUUGCUUCAAGCCACCCUGAAUUCUCUACUAUGAGACAACAAGUAUGUUUGACACCAUACAUGAACCAUAUCUAUCUCUUCUUAGGUUAUUUUGAAGUGGAUUCAACAAUUUCUUUGAACUUAAUCGUAUUAUUGGACAUUUUCUUUUGUUUAUGUGGUUAUUAUUGAGGUAAUCUAUUGAAUAAGUAAUUAAGAAUACAAUAUUUUUUAGGAUGCAUUUGAGUUCUUCCUACAUUUCAUUGACCAAGUUGAAGUACUAAAUGCUGGCAACCCUCAAUUGGAUCCUUCAAGGUGCUUCAAAUUUGGUAUUGAAGAGAGACUUCAAUGUCCAUCUGGGAAGGUUGCUUACAAUAGCAGACAAGACUGUAUUCUCUCUCUCAAUAUUCCACUGGACAGAGCCAUCAACAGAAGCAGGUUUUUUUUUUUUUUUUUUUUAAAUAAUAUGAUAUAUCUGAUUGUGAGAGAAUGAUACCUCCCCACAUACUUUUUGCUCAACUUAAUGGGCUGCAAACUUUUUAUAUUUGUGAAUAUUGUAACUGCUAAUCCAAAUCCUCGUAACAUUGGUAAUUCCAGAUUCAACUUUUUCAAUCUUUACAGCUUUAACCAUAAAAGAUUAGACGUGUUUCUUUGGUUGCUGUAGAGCAUCUCCAAUAGCCUCUUUAUUUAGGCUCCUAACUUGAGAUUUGAGGAAGGAGAGGAAAAAUGUUGCUCCAAGAGACUCUUAAGUGACUCUUAAAUCACUAAGAGCCUUUUGUUUCUCUCUCCUCUCUCCUCAAAGUUAAGAGCCACUACAUUGCUCCUAACUUAUUUUUUCACAAUAAAAAAAUCCUUCCCUCCAAUUCACCUCCAUCUUUCCAUCUCUUUUGUUAUAGUGGAGCCCAAUAUAUGAAUAAAAUAUGAAAUAGAGAAGAGAUGUGGAGAGUGUUGUUGGAGUUUACACUCUUAACUUUGUCCUAAAUUGCUAAGAGCCAUAUUUUUUAUAUUAUAUUUAGGAGCCAACAAGGAGGCUCUUGGAGAUACUCUUAUUUAUUUUGCUCUUUACCAGAAGUUUGGAGGGAAUUUGUUUAUUUGGACUUCUUUUUGUCAGGAGUUUAUUUGGACUAUUAGUAAUACAAGUAUAUGUAUAUUUGCAUGUUAUGUAUUGUAUUGUCCAACUCCAGAUAAAAUAAAAUUGAAUAAAGAUGCAUUUUAUGUUUAGUUUCAACGUCAUCUGCAUUGAAAAUUUUCAACCUAAUUACUAAUUUUCUCUUCACCCUUUACUUAACAUGAUCAUGGUUGCUGUGGUAUUGCAGAGUACAGACUAAUUGGACUGGUGAGCCCCAUUGGUACUUCUACCCAUUGUGCCCAUUAUGUUGCUCACACUUACAAAGACGGAAGGUGGGAGAGGUGAUAUAUAACGAUGCAAAAGUUGGGGCUUCCAAAGAUCCUCCAAAAGACAUGGGGUACUUGUAUUUUUAUGAGAGAAUUGUUUCUUAGAUUUUGAAAGGUAGAAAGUAAAAAGGGAAAUCCUUAGCUCAACAGUUCACAAAGAAGCGAGUUUGCGUAACAACUGUGUUUACUAAAAUCAUUUGCAAAAGCGUCUUGUACUGUCCACAUUCACAAAGAAACAUGAUAUGAUGUUAAUAGUGAUGUGGAUGUGAAAAAUUUCUCUGGCUCCAGCUAAUACAGCUUCAUAUCCACCAUUUCUUGUGAAAAUUCUGUUUCACCAAAGACCUCGUGCAAUAAUUUCUCCGUAAAGCUGAUUAGUUUCUGGUUUAGCACUGUAGAGAUAUUUAUUCAAUCAAAUAGAUAGACCAAUAAUUUGAUCAAGAGAGAAUAUUGAACACACAUUUGGGACGUAAUCUGUUGGGUUAUCUCACAUGAAACACUUGAAUAAAAAGUUAUUUACGAACGAUUUAAAUGGGAUGAUAAAGAGUAGGGGGUCUGUUAAGUUCUGCGAAUAAUACGUGGAACACCUAGGCCGAGAUCGAAAUAAGUUCUCGCUACUCUGCGACAGAAUAAAAACAUUAAGUUACUGGCUAGCUAUGGAAUUGUUCGGUGACUAAACAUUUUUGCGGGGACUCUCAAAAUAGAUCAUCUGUCUAUAACUCUGUUCUAAUACUUCUCGGGGGUGAUCCAGAAUCAAACUCGGAUGUUUCGGAAUAAUAAAAUAUAAACUCACAAGCUAUCUGAUCAUGAGAUUUUUUUUCCUUUUGGAAGAUACAGAUCAUGUUCAUAUUCACGAUAUUUUGAAGCAUGAGUCCAUUGAAGAACUUGUUAUAUUGACCGAUAUUGACCGACUUAUAUGAUCGAGGGAGUACUAUGGACCUGUUUGACGUAUUUUAUUUACGAAAAAAUUACAUAAAUAUGAACGUUUUGUAAAAUAAUUUAUUUAUUUCUACUAUAUAAAUCAGGUUAAACGUCUCUUUACUAUUUCAUUAUAAGAAAAAUGUAAAUGUGAUUUAUUUAUCUUUGAAAUAAGUCUCUAUAUUCACCGUUUAAGAUGAGUCAAACAUGCUCUUAUAUCUCUUGUUUCAGUUAGAAUCUCUACAAUUUACAUAAAUCAAAUAGUACAUUUACAUAUGAAAAACUGUAAACUAACAAAAAAAACCGAACUUUUCAUUUACAUAAUACAGUUAUCAGAACUAACAUGAAAAAGCUUCCAGGCUCCCUGACAGCUCUGAAUACUAUUCAUCUACAUUGUUCCGGUCAGAAUCUCUAAAAUUCUCAUAUAUAUCAUAACGAGAUAAUUUUGCGUCGAAUGAUACUACAACAUCCUCUGUAUAUACAUCAAAAAUCAAGAGUGAAGCUGUCCACCGGUCUUUUCCGCUGAACAUAUGCUACUAACAUACGUAUGUCAGGAACCUGGACCCGAUAAAUAAUAACGCAGAAACCAAAUUGAGAAAGAGACAGCUUCCAGGCUCCCCAGACUGCUUCAGAUAGUAGUUUCUUCAGAAUACUUGUCCCAGCAUAACAGCAUACUGAUGCACUCCCUCAUAAUAUACAGCUUUCCUCUCUGCUGUCUCACAAAUCUCUUCAACUUUGCAAAUCUCCUUACCAACCUCCCCAUACUCUUAUAUAGCCCAGCACCAAUGCAAUCCCCUUCUGCAGCUAGACCAAGUCUAGUAGCCAAAUAUAUUUAUACAUAUGACUUAGGAACAAAACAUACAGAAUCUCAAGUAGAGUUUAAUCUUCGGCAUAGGGUCCAUUUGUUUCCUCACUAAGCAUCACUAUCACGUGUAGGCGUGCUACUUGGCUCUCUUGCAACGCGAAUUAGUUCUUCUCAUUGCCUUUGAUAAUUCUUCUACUAAGUUAAAUCUUGCUUAAAUCCAAGACAGAACCUUAUCUUCCUCUUCAGAAGCCCUACAUCAUAGUCUUUUAUUGGACCAUUUUCGUUUCUUUUUCAAAAUACUCACGCUCACACAAACAUGGAUACGGUGCAUGGUGGCUGGUGGUGGUCCUCAGCUUUUCGGAACAACCUGUUUGAGUGACCCCAAAUAACAACCACCAUACAUGAGGUUUAAUUAAGGCCACUUCUAAUAAAGAUCUUUACAUGAUAGAUUGUUACAGUAACACGAGUACUUGAGAUAUCUUUUUCAUAUAAUUGUCGAUUAGAAUGCAGGGGAAACAUAGAGGGCUCCUGAUUAUCUAAGGAUAAGAUCUCUACUGUUGUUUGAAUCUUUGUGGACCUCUAUUAUGCUACUUAUAAUGGCCUGAUCAGUAUAUUAGUUUGAAAUAAUAUGGCGAAAUUGGGGUUUUGGCCCUAUAAACUGAGUUAGUCGCAAUCUAUGAUAACGCGGAGUUGGUCUUUAGUGGCAGACCAGGGGAGACAUUAAAGAGAAAUGGGUUUCAAAGUACAGUAUAGAGACUUCUUGAUUUGGAAUGUAAUGCAUAAUUAAAGUUAAAAGAACAAGCUGAAAUCAAGAGUGCAUGUGGGAGAGAUAGGUUUCGGAUUUCACUAACUCAAACGAUAGGGCAGAGCUGCUAUCUUGCAGAGAAACAAGAUCAAGUGAAGACAGAAACUUUUUAAUGGGAGACAGCAUAUAUAAAAGCAUUUAACAAAAGAUACUAAGCAUAUGGAGAAUCAACAAAAGAAACUUAACACUUUGUAUAAAAAUCUAUAUAUGCAGAGAGACUGAGAGAGAGAGAGGGAGAGAGGGAGGGAGAGAGAGAGAGAGAGAGAGUGAGAGAGAGAUACUUCAUACUUCCCAUUUGCAACUGAAUGUGUAGUUUCUAUAAUUCUGCUUCACAGACCGACAUUUGAAGUGCUUUUAUGCAAGUUUCCCUGAUUGUGGAGUGCUUUUAUCCGACAAUCAAUCCCAAACACCUUGGCACUAACAAGGCCCGACAUGCCACCACCACUACCUUCUAUCUUCCUCCAUAGCCACCACCGAUUACAGCAACAAAUUAAACCCAUAAAGCACUUUAUAUUGAUCUAUAUUAUCGAUACUCUUGUGACAGUGACAUUGUAAUCUUGAUAUUUAUCUCUCUUUUCAGAUACCCUCUUGAGUCUUGAUCUAAUCUUAUUCCUACCUAGACAUUCAUAGUGAUUAUGACUCAUUAUGAGUAAGCAUCUGCAAAAUGCAUACAUAUAAUUCGAGAAGAUACAAGUUAUAUACUAGAACUAGAAGAUGAGUCAUGUGUGCAGAGAGAAAAAGGAGCUUGUUCAAACUUCAUUUAGUUGGUUCACAGUUAAUUAACCAUCAAGAAUUGUUACAAAGUUGGUGAUACAAACAGAGCCUAAAUUCUUAAAUCAAUAUAACAUGAGUGAUGAGGCACAUUUUUACAACACUAACAAGAUAAUAGUUACGUUAUGAAUCUACAAACUUUCGUGCUACUUCAAUAUCCAAAAUUUCAAGUCCUUUGAAGGUUGUAUGAACCUAAUGUUCAUUGAGCACAUUCUGAACCCCUGAACACCGACAACCCUCUGGUCUACAGCUCUGAAUGGGAUUCCCGGGGAGGGGGGAGGGGACUCCCGGAAAGGGGGAAUGGAAAGUUUUAACAGAAGUCUCCUUUAACAUGUCAAGUAUCACACUACACUAUAGUAAAUAGUAGCUGGCAUGAGUAAGUUAACUAUUCGAAACAAUUUAAACAGACUAUUCCUAGAAAUGCUCAAGGUUGAAUCCUAACUUCUUCACCAAUCAUACCUCUGCAUCCGUUUUACAUUCACAUCAUCGUAACAAACUAUGAGAACCAGAGAAUAUCAUCAUAAUACUCGGUGUAUAAUAAAGGUUAACUGUAUGGUGUGGUAGACUCAGGUAUUAUAAUAAAUAAUAUCUCAGCAUAUAAUUUAUCAGAGAAUUGUACUAGUCUUGACAACUUUCACAUUGUCUUCUUACAUAUAUUUCAUCAUACAUAAAAUACUUGCCAUGGACAUACGCUGCAUAAUAUGCAGAACAUUAUACUGAUGCUUUCUUCCGAGCUCUACUUGCUAAAUACUUGGUACUAAAGCCACUAGCUCACAUAAGGCGCCUACCCCUUGCCUCCAGAUAUCAGUUUAGCAUUUUUAUCAAACAUUGACAACCAGAGCCUGCACUUAAGGUUUGUAAAUGAAACCAUGUCCACACCUGCAUCAAACGGAAAGAAAUUGAUCAAGAAACAACCAUAUAAAUAGCAAAUUAAAACAAUAGAACUAUUCCUAUCAAAUUUUACAAUGAUGACUGUAAGAGGCCUAAAGGCACCAAGUUUGCAAACUGGCUCUCUAUUAUCCUAAUGCAUCAAACAAAAAAAAAGAUGUGGAAAAUCUGGAUCCCUGGGCUACAAUACCUACAUAUGCUGCAAGGCAGAGUAGCUUCGAUUAAUCUACUAAACUAUGAUUUUGAGAAAUAUACUACAAAAAUUUACACCAACAACAGAGUUAUCAUUCACUAAGUAUCUAGGAUCCACUUUUCAUUUCUCGUAUUAGGUAAUGGCUAAUUUUAAUGAUUAACUAUUCACUUCUCACCUUUUUCACACUCUUUUCACAUUUUUUACAUUAUCCUCUACGUAGUAGAAGUAAGAAACACUUUUUUUAAACUUAUCAAAACGGUCCCAUAUAAGUUCACUUCUGGCUCAAGCCAGAAAUCUCAGAAGUUAGAAACCCUACUUUUUUUCGGUCACUUAUUUUUGUUUUUAAAUUUGAUUUACAAAAAUAUAUAUUCCCGGGUUAAAAUAAUUUACAAUGUUUUAUUAUUAAAUUAUAAUUUUUAUACCCGUUAAAUUGUAAAUAUCCAAACACAUAAUUAAAAAUUAUUUUUCUAACCAUUCUUCUAAACUAAGUCAAACGCAACAUGUCAUGAUCGGUUCCACUCAAACUCUUGAGAUACGCACCUAAAUCAUUUAAUUAAAAUUACUCUGUCCGCCAUGUGUAAAAAAAAUCGAAAACAGAACUCGGGAUGACCAGUAAAAAUACCUGCAACGAACAGCUGAGCAACCCAUAUAUUUAUCGAUAUAGAUCUUGCAUCCAGGACAUCUCUUCCACCUUCGAUUCUUCGCAAGCUGCAUCAGCAAAAGAUCCUCAGCUUCCCUCUCAUCCUUACUCAAACUCUGAAACUCCAAACAUUCCACCCCCAAAUGCCACGGCACACGACAAUUCGCGCAGAAAUCCCUCUCACAGUACUGACAAUUCGACAAAGUAGCCACCAUCCCAUCAUCAAUCAACAUAGCAGAGCAAUCUUUGUAAGGGCAAUAAAAUUUCUCCCAGUCAAAAAUCACGGCCUCGCAUAACGCCUUGCCCCAUCGAUCAAACACCUCAAGCGGCAAGAUCAAGCGACAAUCCUCGGGCUCUAACAGUCCCCUGCAGCCCGGAACAGGGCAGAGGAUUUGAGUAAUGUUGUCUUGGAGCUUGCUUGCGAUGUACGUAACGAUACAAUUAGUACAAUACGAAUGAGUACACCCGUUGAUCGAAAAGGCCUCGUUAAAACUCUUCUCAUCGACACAUAUUUCACACACAAAGAGAGUACUGGCUUGAGUGUUUGAUGACUCGCCAGCCUCGAAAGUGGAGUUUAGAGUGAUUUUACGACGAGGGUUUCGAUUUGGGAAGGGGAAGGAGUCGAGAACAUGCACGUCUUCGUAAUGGGUUUCUUGCGUUGCACGGUUAAGGUCAAUGAAGAAGCGUUUCUUGUGGUUUCUUGGUUGCAUGGAGUUACGGUAGGUUUCAACUGAAAUGGCGUUUUCUUUGGUGGCUCCCAUCGGUGGGUUGAUGGGGACGUGAUGGUCGUCGUCGUCGUCGGGGAUUUCGACGAUCUCGACUGGCUUGACCUUGGUCGCCUUGGAGACGUAUGUGGUUGAUGUGUGUACAAGUGAUGAAAUAGGGUUUGUUUAAUAUUUUUGGUUUGGGUUAAUUAUCAAACUCAUCACUAAAGUGGACAAAUGGUAUCAACUUCAUCACUGAUCUCCACGGGGUCUCAAGUUGCUCACUAAACUCGCUUAAUGGUAUCAAACUCAUCACUGUUGUUAAAAAAAAGUAACGGAAGUUAGAGGGAGUGACAGAUUGGCGGUUGACGUGGCACAUUAAUAAAAAAGACUGAAGAAAAACAAAUGAAAGAAAAUAAAAAAAAGUAGAAAAUAGAAAUGCCACAUAAUUUGAAGUUUAUAUGAAAAUAAAGUAUGCAAACUUUUUAUUAAAUUGAUUUUAGGAUAUAAUUAUCUAAAUAAAUGUAUCGAACUAAAUUUUAAUAUAUAAUUAACUAAACAAUUAAGAUUAACUUUUAUGUUUUUUAUUAGAUUAUAAUUUUUUUUGAAUAAUAUUGAAUUUUUUUCUCUUUUAAUAAAUUUUAUUUAUGUGAAUAUUAUUGUUGGCAAAAAAAUAUUUCCAAUUUUUUUUAUAUCACCAACUUUUUCAAAAUUUUAAGAAAAAUCUAAAGAUAGAACAUAAAGAAAUUCAUUUCGAUUUUUAACACUUCUAUUUCUUUUGGAGUUUUUCGUACCAAACAAAAACAUAAAAAUAAAUAUAUGUAAAUUUAACAUAUGAAGCAACAUACAUUGUCCAAAUCUUCAAAAACAACACAUAAUGUUGAAAAAUAUUUUUUUGCCAACAACAAUAUUCACAUAAAUAAAAUUUAUUAAAAGAGAAAAUAUUUCAAUAUUUCAAUAUUAUUUCCUUUCAUUUGUUUUUCUUUAGUUUUUUUUAUUAAUGUGCCACGUCAACUGCCAAUCUGUCACUCCGUCUAUCCUCCGUUACUUUUUUUAACGGCAGUGAUGAGUUUGAUACCAUUAAGCGAGUUUAGUGAGCAACUUGAGACCCCGUGGAGAUCAGUGAUGAAGUUGAUACCAUUUGUCCACUUCAAUGAUGAGUUUGAUAAUUAACCCUUUUUGGUUUUUAUGAAGGGAAAUGGUAGUUACCUAAAAAAAUUGUUUCAAUUUAUUCUUCGAUUGUCUUGACUCCAAUAAUAACGAGACCCUUUCUAUCUAUGCACAUCAAUCAUCUAAUCACAAUUUUUGAAUUAGGAAAUUUCUACGAGUACACAUUAUCCUUUUAUGAAAUGCGGAUGCAUGUAGAGUUCUAUUCUAAUAAAAUUCUUUUUAUGAAAUGCGGAUGCAUGUAGGGUUCUAUCCUAAUAAAAUUCUUAGUUAGGAUUUUCGAAUUACUAAUUUAUUUAUCUAAACAUGUAUGAGAAAUAUUAGGUAUCCAAAAAAGUGUUAACAAUUUUAUUUUUUUCCCAAAUUCAAUUGGCAAGAUAAGAUUGGUUCCUCCCACGCUAAUAGACCAUAUAUACUUAAUAAAAAUUUUGAAAACAAAUUCUGAGAUACGUAGCAUUUUCAUUUUAUAAAUUCGUAUUUGUUUUAGUUUAUCUUUAAAAGAUUAUAAUAUCUUGGACGGGCCGAAUCACCUCUCCAUAGCAGUUUGAUGAGCAAGUCCAAUAGGUUACCUAUCCCAUUAUUUAUAAAUAAUAUAAAAUAAUAAUUGUUAGUAUGUCUUAGUGAUUUAGGUAAUCUAUUUUUAGUGUCAACUCCAAUGGUAUUUCCUAUAUUUGUUCUCCUAAGAUUAAUUUAAUAAUAAAUUUGGGAGAGAGAAGGGGAAAAGGAGAGAAUAGACAAAGAAAGAAAGAGAGAGAUGAUUAUAUUAUUCAUAAAUAUUAAAUAGGUAAUGGCUAGAGGUUACUUAUAAAUAGGUAAUGGCUAGGAGAAUUAAAGUUCUAGUGAUUUAGGAUAACACUAGGAUAGUGUUGGAGUGCAUUUUUUUUACCCAUUACCUAAAUGUGAGUUUAGGACAUCAUAUAGGUAACCUAUUGGACUUGCUCUAAUAUCCUUACAGGCCUGAUAUGCUAGGCCUGUAGAGAUGAGUCCAAUCAGUUACUUUCCUAGGUCGACCCAACCAUUUCUUUAUAGUUUCUUUUUAGGAUGUUUCUUCCAAUUUUUUACAUCUCAAAACUUAUUAAAAACUAGUUGAGAAGCCGCGCGUUGCGGCGGCCUAUAGAAAUCAUAUUAAUGAUUCAAAAAUAAUAUUUGUAGAACAAAAUCAAUUUGCAGCAACUUAUAAAAAUUACAUUAAUGAUUCAAAAUUAAUAUUUGUAGAAUAAAAUAAAUUUUAUAUUAUAAACAUCUCGAUCCAAUACCAAUAUUAAUAUUUAAAAUUGUAAAAUUGGACUAUAAUUCAUGAGUGAAAAAAUGAUAAUAAAUUUCUACAUGUAAUUAACGAUUUUAAAGCACGGCGAAUCUUAAUUUCAAUUGUGUUUUUUUUAAAAGUAAUCAUUUUCUUGACUAACAUUAUUAUUAAGUUUUCUAAACACUGCUUCUUAGACAUUUAGCCAUAUACAUCGAUCGUCCAAUAAAACAGAGAGUAAGCUUGCAAACAACAACAAAUACGUCCGACGACCAAAACAAAUAUUAUAAAAGAAUAACCAACAAACAUAUAUAACUGUGAUUAGGGGUUUGUAUUCGGUUAAUCGAAACCAAAAUUCUAUGAAAAAUUCUACUGAAUACUGAACCUAAUUAAUUUCGGUUUUGUAACCGAACCGAAAUUUAAAUUUCGGUUAAUAUUGAAAACAGAAAUUAUUAACCGAAAUUUUCAGAAAGCCUCUAAAAAGUGAAAACUAUGAAAAUAAUUUGAAAUAAACAUCAUUACAUCAAGCAUUAAGAUAAUUUGUUGCUUAAAAAUUACAACUACAAGUCUCCGAUGAGUCAGUUUAAGACAGUACUUAAAAAUAUUUAAGUUCACAAUCCAAGUUAAUAAAAAAAUUCUUCAGCCGGAAGCCAGUAGCCAGUCCUCUAUUUCUGCACCCGAUAUCUUCAUUUGAUAAUGUCACAUGCACCUGAUUUUUUUUUAAAAGUAAAUAAAACUUCGGUUAACCGUGGUUAAAAAACCGAAUAACCGAAAAAUGAAAAUUCGGCUACCGAAAACCAAACCGAAAUAUAAAUUUCGAUUAACGGAACCGAAAUUAUUUCAGUUAUUCGGUUCGGUUAACCGAACCGAAUGCACAUCCCUAAUCGUGAUAUUGAGAGAGAGUGUAGGUUGUGUUUAGAUGAUCCAAAACCCUAAAAAGUAAAAACUAUAGGGGUAUUUAUAAGUGCAUAGAGACUUAUGUGCUACUCUUUUCUAUAAUUAAAUAAUCUGAAAUAUGAUCAGAUUAAAAAACUUGCAAGUUACUAUAUUUCAUAAAUAAACUGAAACAGAAUCAGAUUAAUACUUGUAAUCUAUUAUAUUCAAUAAAUAAUCUGAAACAGAAUCAGAUUAGUUUAUGCCAAGAUAUAUACCAUAUCAAUUAAUCUGAAACAAUUUUUUUUGAUAUCUUUCAUCCAAAAUUCCAGAAAAUUAGAAAAAUAGAACGGAGCUAUCUGAGAGGCGCCACCUACACAUUUUUUUUUUUUCCUUUACAUAAGUAUAUUGAUUUCGAACCAGAUUAUAAAUAAAUAUACUUUUAUGAGGGUGUUUAUAGGUGCAGACAGACUUGGGUUCUGCUCUUUCCCAUAAUUAAAUAAUCUGAAACAAAGUCAGAUUAAAACUUUGAAUUUACUAUAUUCCAUAAAUAAUCUAAAACAAAAUCAGAAUCUGAAACUUGCUUCUAAUAUAUUCGAAACUAUAAAAGGUAGUUCUAAUUUUUGAUAUAUUUCAUCCAAAAAUUCAAGAAAAUUAGAAGAAUAGAAAGUUGUGUGCUACUAUUUCCCAUAAUUAAAUACUCUGAAACAAAAUCAGAUUAAAACCUUGAAGCUACUAUAUUCCAUAAAUAAUCUAAAACAAAAUCAGAAUCUGAAACUUGCUUCUAAUAUAAUUGAAACUAAAAAGGUUAGUUCUAAUUUUUGAUAUCUUUCAUCCAAAUAUUCCAGAAAAUUAGAAAAAUAGAACGGAGCUAUCUGAGAGGCGCCACCUAUACGCCCCUCGCUUCUCCUUUAUAUAAGUAUAUUGAUAGUCAAUUGAUCCCGCCAUCUUCCCACUUUUCCUCUAUUUUCACGCUACUUCCCUUUAUACAUUAAAAAUCAAUGUGUCUCACACCACUCCAUCCACUUUUCUUUCACUUUUCCACUAUUUUAUAUCUAAUUCUUAAUUUCCGACUUUUCUUUCACUUUUCCACUAUUUUAUACCUAAUUCUUAAUUUCCGUGUCCAAAUUAAACGUAAGAACUGACUAGGACGGAGGGAGUACAUAUAUAUUAACCUCCGUGCCUAAACCAAACAUAAAAAAUUGGCCGGGACGGAGGAAGUAGCAUCUAACAUCGAUUAGUAAUUUUUUUUUAAUUACAACUGGCUGUUCAAAAGUAAAACUGAUAUCUUUACACCGACCACAAUAACUAAACCUUAAUAUAUAUUUAGGAUUGGAUAUCAAUAAAUCUGAAUACAUACGAUGAACAGAGAGAGCCAUUAGAAAUCUUCAUCCAGUUUAAAGACAAAGUUUCCGUCGCCAUGUUGUAAAUUUGACAUAAUAGAAGCCUUCUGAUAAUCUCCCACCCGUCUCUCGAAAAAGUUGGCUUUUCCUCUGUCAUGAAAGCAAAUAAACAGUAGCACGUUAGAAUUUCCAAAUAGUCAGAAACCCGAAUCUUCCCUUACAAAUCCUUGGAGAAAAACAUAGAUACUAGAAAUGUGUUUCAAAAUGUCAUAUAUAUUCCUUGGUUCCUCAUCUACCAAUGUGGACAAAGGCGAUGACUGUAUACAUUUGCUUCACUAGUGCGUUCAACUUAUAAUUAAAAGCACUUAAAACUCAUUAUCAGUUUCCAUCGGAAUACUUACUGCAAAGAGAUGAAUUCCAUCCAGUCAAAGGGAUUCUCUACAUUGUACUUCCUCUCGCACCCUAAGGCUUCCUGCAAGAGAGUGAUUAUAGUUUAUAGAUCACCUUCAGCUCAAUCACAGCCAAAGUAUAACUUGAAGACAGGAAAAAAUAAUAGCCUUACCAACAAUCUGUCAGCAACAAAUUUUAUAUACUGGCUCAUCAAGGUUGCAUUCAUGCCAAUCAAAGCGCAUGGGAGGGCCUCACAAACAAACUGACACUCUAUAUCUACAGCUUCAUGCACAAUCUGAUGAACUUUUUGUGGCUGCAGUUUCUUCCAUAGUAAACUAGAUAAACACAAUAUAAAAUCAAAAUAGUCCUGUAUCACUUCUUUUAGAAACAAUGAUCAGCAAGUUCAGACCUCGUAUAUUUAGCUUUCAACAAAACUAACCUGUAUAGACUGCAAGCAAAGUCACAAUGAAGACCCUCAUCUCUUGAAAUAAGUUCAUUUGAGAAUGUCAAACCUGGCAUCAAUCCUCUCUUUUUAAGCCAAAAGAUGGCACAAAAGCUGAGAACAAGAUGACGAUUACUAGCAAGUAGAUUGCGAUCACAUGCGGGGGGAAAAAAAAAACAUAUCUGGCUAUCUGCUAAUGUAAAGGACAUAUAACUAUAAGACUCAGACAGCUGGUUUACCUUCCUGAAAAGAAUAUUCCUUCAACACAAGCAAAAGCAACAAGUCUUACCGCAAAAGACGUAGAACUGCAUGAGAAUGCAAGGAAUAGCUGAUGACAUUUAGUCCCAACAGUGUAUUCAGUUGGAAAAUAAAAUUAUCUACCUAAAAUAUCAAUAUACAAAAUCCUAUUCACUUAGUUUAAGAGUUUUCAUUGAAGGACAUUGCACUGACGUUGCAUUAAACUAUCUAUCUAAAGAUUCUGUUCAAACUAAUCUUUACAUUGUAGUGGAUGAGAACAGAACACAGUUUCGGGAAUCUAUGUAGCUUUUUAAGAGACAUGAUUAACUUCUAAUACACAAGCAACGGGGGAGGGAGGGAGGGUGCCUUAAGCAAGAGAAGAGAUAUCAAACAUAGAAUUCCUUUUUCUUUUCUUUUUUCAAUUUGCUUCUAGCGGGCAAGUCUGAUCAAAGUACAAUCACCAAUUAAGAUGCAACAAAGUUCCUAAAAAUAUAUUAACCGCAAUCCAGUCCAUCAGAAAAUUAUGAUGAUACCUUCUGAUCCAGUUUAAAGCCCACUGAGCUUUUUGAGCAACACAUGGAAUACUUUCAAUGGCAUUAAACAAUCUAUGCUUCUCCAUCGAAUCUUUGAUAUAUGUUUCCAAAAGUAAGCUGUACAUCUCUACAAAAAUGGCAAGUUAAUCAUAUCAAAUAUCAGAUAGAUCAUGACUGGAAUGGAAGAAUAUCACUGCUAAAUGAAUACAAAACACUACCAGAAUGAAUAUUUUCCAUUGCAAUCUGAAAACCAUAAAAAGCUCGAGCCUGUCAAGAGAAACAACAGUUGAUGCUAUUCAACGAGGAGACAUAAGUACGAUCGGCAUAUAAUGUAGUCAUCUCCACCUGCUAUCUGUUUCUGCGAAGCACUGUCGACAUAAUGGCACAUAUAAGGUUAAAUUAAUUCUGUUACAUACCCUAAGGGUUACCCCAUUUCAUAAAGAAAUCCGUUAAUACAAAAUUUAGUGGCAAGUCAUAACAAUCCCAGUCUUUCAGCCUCUACAGGAUUCUGAAAUUCAAGUCACAUACUUCAGGAUUUCACUUUUACUAGCAAGUAUCAAGAAAGUGAUCAACCUAUGACUUUGUGAUUUGUGAUACGAGAACCGAUCUUAUAUAUUGACCUGUUCAUAUUUCUAAAUCCUAAGGGAAGAAGAAAAGCAAUUGUAGCAACAUGGCUGAUUAAGUAUACAAUUGUAACAGAUAAGACUUCACAAUUUGGUCUUUCUUUUCUUUCACCAAGAUGGACUUCACAAUUUGGUCAAAAUCAAUAUAUUUUCCACCAUGAGUCCAUGACAGUGAUGCAACGUACUACUAAUAUAUGUUUCAUAUGUACGCUUAGGAUAAACUAAAGAUUUUGCAGUCAAUUACAAUAUCGAAUCUUAAUCUUAUACCAACAUUACAUGCUUCAAAAUUUAAAUUAGCGCAAUGCCUCAAUUGUUGUUAAUUUACCUCAGGAAUUUGAACAUCAUUCAAAAAUCUUGCAGCUAAAUUUUCCAGAACAAUUCCAUCUGAUGCAGCGAAAAAGGCCAAAACGUGGCUUAUAAAAUGUUUCUCAGAAGUAGACAAAGUUUCCCAGUGUUGCACAUCGAGAGAAAGAUCAACUUCCUCCACUGAAGCCCAGACAUUUAAAUAACAUAGCAAUUAGAUAGAGCAAAUAUAAGGACUCUGUAACAUUAAACUGCUUUACAAGGAGAAAAAUGGUUGAUUAAUCCCCCGCUCUUAUUCAGUUAGACUAUCAAUAAGAUGGUACCCCUGUCAAAUUAAGCAUUUAGAAUCACCCAAUGACAAACAUAAAACGCCCAAAAAUACACAUUUAUGUAGACAUCCAUUUCCACAGGCUAUGCAGCUGUAAUUAGUAUUGUCACAACUAAUAUAAAAGCAUCUUCAGGCAAUUUAUCAAAUAAAAAUAUUAUUGCUAAUUCACUUGAUUAGUUUCACAAAAAGUUCACUGUCCCCAUCACCCAAGCAUGCUUCAUUGUGUCACCAGACAACCGUAUUAUUUUGCAGUAGUAAGGUAUUAGGCAGAUCAGUAUAAAAAAGGUGCAGAUUGCACCAAGCAGUGGUUGGGUUAGUUCAAAUUUGGAAUAUAUAACAGGACCGAUCGAUUUAAAACCUUUUUAAAUCUUAUGGCAAGUCCAACAAUGUCUUAAAAUGAUUCCAAAGCUAAAAUUUAAGACAUUUGGAAGAAAUGAGUGCUCCAACAAUGUCCUAGUGGUGCCUUAAAACACUACUACAUCCAACAAGUGCCUUACUUUUAAGGCACCACUAUGCAAGUGCUAAACCAUUUUUAUCAAUAAAAAAAUUAGUUUCCCUUCAUUUUAACACAUCUCUUUCCUUUCAUAUUUUCACUUCCCUCCAAUAAUAAUUCAAAUAUAUUAUUAUUUUAAUAAUAAGGCAUGUUGUUGGGGUUCAUACAUCAAAAUGAUGUCCUAAAUUACUAAGAGUCUAAGACACCAUUUUUUAUUAGCGAGAUGGUCCCUAACAAGAGAUUGUUGGGAACAAUCUAUACCUAAUAAAAUAUCGGGGAUAGCAAAAAACCCUAAAGUGGGUGUAUAAACCGCGGAUAGGCCUGAUGGCCCCCCUGCAUACACAUAAUAAACCUAGUGUAAUCUCUUUCCGCUAUAAAAUAAUGCGGAUAGUUUGAUGCAACAAACCCAUAUCAAGGACCCGGACCCUUUUUAUUAUAUUCAUAAGGCAUUUAGUAAUUAGUAGUACAUUGUUGAACUCGCUCUUCACAAAAACUAGAUUAACCAGCCCCUUCAACCUCAACCAAAUCGACUAGGCACUAUUUACCAAAAUAUCACAACAUAUAACAAAAUUUGAGAGCCUAUACAAAUCAAAGUACAUAUGCAUGAACAACAUAGCCAUUAGCCACACAAAAUAAAAACCUAACACAAAUUUUAAUAAAAAUCCACCGACAUAUAUAUAGAUAUAUUGAGAGAAAACCUGCCCAAAAACUGGCUUGAGCCCUCUUAUACAUCUCCCAGAGUUGAGGGUAUUUAAUAGGGAACAUACAGAACUUCUGGGGCUGUUCCAUUAGUAUUGGCUCUUCUUCUUCCUCAAUUUGCACUCCUUUUGUUUCAUUUUUACUACAACUCAUUUUUUCCUGUGUCCAGAAUCUUGAAAUAUCUGUGAUUGCAAAAUAUAUAAAAAGUCAGAUUAAAGGGAUUAUUUCAGACACAAGCCUUUGAGAAACAGAACAAGACACAUAUGUACAUGUAAAUCAGUGUAUGUGUUAACGAUGAUAUGUGAAAGCGAUGUUCUGGUUUUGUCCCUGCAAUCGCGUAUAUUUAUUUCUGGAGUAUUUUUCUGAAGGUUUUUUUUUUCCGGAUUCGGUUUUCAUGCUAAAUACAAAACCAAUACUCCCUCCGUCCCCCUCAAUUGUUUACAAGGGGGACACGGAAACCAAGACAAUGUACGAAAAAUGAGUAAAGUUAGAUAAAAAAUGAAUAUUUAAUAAUAGAUUUGAGAUAGUGAAGGAUAGUGAAGGAAAAUAGUGGGUGUAGUAGUAGUUUUUAUUGUUAAAUAUGAGAUAGUAAGGGAAGACCAUGGGUGUAAUGAUGGGAAAAACUUGCUAACGUAAAUAAAUGAGAGGGUAAAGAAAUGAGAGGGACAGAGGGAGUAUUGAUUAUCAAGAAAAAUAUCAAACUUUUUGCAAGAGCAAAAAAGAAAAAUAUCAAAUUAAAAUUAACAUUUCAAUAUAUGAUAUAAAUUGUGUGCAUUUAAUUAUAAUAAAAAUAAUAAAAUUACCACUCUUUGUGCUACUCUCAUAUUGAAAUUUAGUGUUUUUUUUUUUGAGUAAAUCAUAUUGAAAUUUACUUGAUGAGUUCGUGGUGCAUAAUUUCAUCAAGUUUCAAAAAGUGGUUAUAAUUUUAAAUUUAUAAAUAAGUGAUCAAAAUUUUUACUGAAUUUUAAGAUGAUGAUUGCACUUUAUAAAUUACACUUAGUAAAUUUGUAAUUUAUAUCGAAUUUCACACAUAUAAUCACGUCUUAAAAAAAAUAAGUAAAUAGAUAAGAUCAUAAUAUCAUAAGAAUAUAUAUAUAUAUAUAUAUAUAUAAUAAAUUGAAGAAAAAAAUUGAUAUCACAUACACGCAUAUAUAUCAGUAUUUUUAAAAUUAUAUAAAAUUGGAUCUAAUUAUCUUAAUUUAUUAUUUAUAUUACAAAUUCAUAUAAAAUUAUAUAUAAUUUAAAAAUAACUAAUUAAAAUUCACAUUGCACAUAUUACGAACUAGUAAUUUUUAAUCAACUAUUUUACUAACAAAAAUAAUUGAAGAUUUUAUGAAAAGAAUUCACUGUCCAACUAAUUAUAAAUAUUUAAUAGACAAAGGUAGAUAAAAAAAAAAAAAUUGAGCUAAUUUUGAUAUGCAUCACACAAUCAAACUCACUCCUCCUUGAACAAUCAAACUCACCGGUGAAAUGAGAGGAGAUGUUAAUCAGAUGUUUUGGUCAACUGAUUAACGUAGAUAUAGUAGAUGAUUUGACUAGCGGAUUGAAUUAACUGUUUUUCAUAAAAUAGUUCGAUAAAUAACUGAUUGAUUAGUUUUUCUUGACACAAAUCAAAACCUCUAAUCCAAAAAACUCCUCAAAAGUAGCUUCUUCAAAAUUAAUUUUUUGAAUCCAAACCUCUAUUUCAAUAUGCUAACUACCAAACACUCAUUUCAACAGAUUUUAAUGAUCAAAUCUCUAAAACACCUCAAAUCUCUAAUUUUACUCCAAAAUUCUAGUUUCCAAACAUGCCCUUGUAGUGUGAUGGGUUUUCUCGACCGGACAAGGAUAUAUUAAGGAUUAAAAUUUAUUUCUAUUCAAUUUAGUUUUUUAUCCAAGAAUUAUGGAUGAUUUGGUGUUUAUAAAUAAAGUUGAGAAAAAAGCAAACUAAAAUUUCUUUAAUAUCAACUACUCAUUACACACGAUCAUCACAUUUCGGUGAAUUUUUGGUCAAAUAAUUAUUGAUAGAUGUUUGUUCCAACCUCAUUUUUGUUAAUCACCAAUUUUUUCCGCCAUUAUUGAUCAUUAAUUCACAAACUAAAAAUUUUCAUCAAUUCUAUAAAUCUGAUAUAAAAUAUGAUAAUUAUUUUAUGAGUAAAUACAGAUUGUGUACCUGUAGUUUGCUAAAUAUUCGAUUUGUGUACUUGUAAUUUCAAUAUAGCAGAUUGUGUACUCCAAGUUUCAGCUUCCGUACGAUACGUGUACUGCCGUCAGUACCAUGUGUAUCGCCGUUUGUAAUAUCUGUAGUAAAGGGUGGGCUUUCUUGUAAUAACAGCACAUAAAGCAAUCUCCUCCCUUCUUCAGUUAGAUUUUGGCGCCAAUCUCCAUUACAUCAUCUCAUCUUUACUCUUAAAAAACUAAGCAGCUGGACAUUGAUUUUGAGAUGCCUUGGCUUGUGCGCGAUGGUGAUCAAUCGGCUUGCUAUGCUCCUGAUGAAGCACCCAACUACAGAGGUGAGCAUCUAAUCUCUCGAGCAUCUUUACUUGGUUUUUAUUGAUGCUCCAUAUGAAUCACAACAUAGGGUGCAUGUAAUUAGUGUAAUCUGUUGAUGUGUUAUGUUACUCUCCAAAAUAGUUUGCUAGAAACCUCAGUUUUUGCUGUUUGGUCUAGGUUGUUUUUAGGGUUUAUAUUUUAGGUUGUAUACUGCUUAACAUAUAUGUCUUUUGUGCCACUUUUUUGUUACUCUGCAGAUAAGCCUGAUAAAUUCACUUUGAAAAUUCAUUUUGAUGGCAAAUUUGAAAGAAAUCCUACAGCUUAUGUUGGUGGUUCUAUAAAAUAUGUAGACAUGUGUGAUGUAGAUGAGAUGAGCUACUUAGAAAUUGGGAAUAUGUACACUGAAUGUGGUGGAACUGGUUAUGUUAGUGAGGUUAAUUACAAGCUUCCUGAUGCUGAUUUUGAUAGUGGUCUGUUCCCUUUAUCAAGUGAUGAGAAUGUGUUACAAAUGUGUAACUCUUUGCCAGCCAACAGAGUCAUGUAUGUGUAUGUUUUAAGUGAAGUGCUUCUCACCCAAGACUACCUACCUUCACAACAAUAUGAUCUUUCUUUUAUUGACCCUUUGGAUAAUGCAUAUGAUAAAGAAAUGACAGAGCAACUGUUGCAUCUUGAGGGCCUGCAAAGUGAGAUUUUUGAUGUGGAAGAAGAAGAAGUUGUAAUAGAGAAGGACAAUGCUGAUAAGGAACAAGUGGUAGAUGAGAAUGAUGUCCUCAGUUUUCAUGGUGAUAGCUCAAAUAUGGACUCAACAGAUGAUGAUGUUGCUGCUUUGAGUGAGAAGAAGAAAAAGAGUGAGGCCACCAACUUUGACAACUAUGGUGACUUUGAGUUUGAUAUAUCUGAUCUAACUGGUUUAUUGAGUGAAGAAGCAGGGCAAGUAGGAAAAGAAGGGUCAGAUUUUAGUGAUUACUAUGGAAGUGAAGAAGAGAGGAUGGCUGCUAACACCACAGAUGAAGAAGAGGAGAGUCAACCUGUUUUUAAUGAAGAAACAGAUAUGUCUGAUCCAAAGUUUGAGAUAGGGAUGUGUUUUACUAGUGCUAGUGCAUUUAGGGAUGCUGUGAGAAAGCAAGCUAUUGUGCAAAGAAGGGCAGUGAGACAGGUGAGAAACUAUGGGGUAAGAGUUAAAUUUGUCUGUGAUGGUAAGGGAUGUGGCUGGAAAAUAUAUGCUUCUAAAAUGCAAAAUAGUUCCACAUACCAGAUUAAAUCAUUUGCUGCUGCUCACACUUGUGGACCUACAUUUGAACAAAAGCAAAUGAGCAGCACCUGGUUAGCCAAAAAUUAUGAGAGUGAAAUAAGGAUGAAUCCAUCCUGGCCAUUAGCAUCUUUCCAGAAGAAGAUAAUCAAUGAUUGGCAUUGUAAUGUUGGAUUGUCCAUGGUAGGAAGGGCAAAGAGGCUGGCACUGAAGAAUAUUAGAGGGGACCAUGUUCAACAAUAUGCUAAGUUGUGGAAUUAUGUUAAUGAGGUUAAGAAAGCAAUGCCUGAUUCUACUAUUGAUGUUGUUGUAGAAGCUCAGGAAAUUGGUUUGGAUGGUCCUAGGUUCAAGAGAAUUUAUGUAUGUUUGGGGCCAGUUAGAAAGGGGUUUAAAAUAGGAUGCAGGCCAAUCAUUGGCCUGGAUGGAUGUCAUCUAAAAGGACCUUAUGGAGGGCAACUUUUGACAGCUGUUGGUUGUGAUUCUAAUGAUGGAAUGUACCCUAUAAGUUGGGCUAUUGUGGAGGCUGAAAACACAGACAGUUGGAACUGGUUCUUAAAUCUAUUAUCUGUAGAUGUUGGCAUUGUUAAUUCAGCUAGUUGGACUUUCAUUUCUGACAGGCAAAAGGUAUAUUGCAUGACACCACCUUUUAACAUUAUACAUGCCUAUCUUACAUGUCAUAACUAUGUGUAUCUGUGAUCCAUGCAGGGGUUGAUCAAUGCAUUAAAUGCUGUGGUGCCUAACUCUGAACACAGAUUUUGUGUUAUGCACCUUUACAGAAACAUGGUGAAAGAGCACAAAGGCAUAAUUUUAAGAAAACUUCUUUGGCUUGCUGCAAGGGCUACUACAGAGUAUAUGUUUAACAAACAUAUGGAUGAGUUGAAGAAGGUAUUUGAGUACUCAUAUUUAUGCUUUUAUUUGUAAUAUUUAUGCAUUUAUUUGUAAUAUUUAUGCAUUUAUUUGUAAUAUUUAGGGAUUUAUUUGUAAUAUUUAUGUCCUACAUUCAGCUGUCAAAGAAGUGUUACAACUGGUUGAUGGAAAAGCCCAAAUCACAAUGGACUAGGAGUGCUUUUAGGAUCUUUUCACUGUCUGAUAUGUUUGUUAAUAACCACUGUGAGGUAUUCAAUAAUAGUAUUGGACAAUUUAGAGAUCUUCCUAUAAUAGGGCUUCUGCAAGGAUUACAUAAAAGUGCAAUGGUAAGAAUUCAAACAAGGAGGGAUAAAAUGCUUAAAUCUUACUCCCUCAACCCAAUUUGCCCUGGUGCAAUGAGAAAAGUGAACAAGUAAGAUUGAAUUUUCUACCUUUAUUUCAUAGUUUUGUAUUAAUCUUGUCUAUAUUAAUCUUGUGUUCAAUUGUAUUAAUCUCUGCAAGAGCAAUGUCUUACAUUGGAGGCUGCAUAGUACAAUGGUCAGGGAAGUCAACCUACCUAGUUACUAUGACUGAUGGUGGACAUGAGAUUGUUGUGGACCUGGAUAGGCAUACUUGUGCCUGCAGAAAAUACCAACUCACUGGACUACCAUGCUACCAUGCAUGUGCCUGUAUUAAGUGGAGGAACUUGAAUUUGUCUGACCAUAUCCAUAAGACAUAUACUAAAGCCAUGUUCCUAUCAUGCUAUUCUCACACAAUUGAACCAAUCAACAGUGAGCAGUUUUGGGAAGAAACUGGUGCAGCUCCAAUUUUACCUCCUAUAGUUAAGAUAGCUCCAGGCAGACCAAAGAAAAAAAGGGACUGCAGAAAUGAUGUUAAAGCAGAUAAUCCCAAUGCAACAAAGCUGGUUAGGAGGAAGACUACCUUGAAAUGCACCUACUGUGGAGAAGAAAAACAUAAUGCCAGGAGUUGUAAAGCUAGGGUAAUUUAUUUAAUUUUGCUGGAUUUUUUAUUCAUUCAUUUAUUUAAGAGUCUCUUUAUUUAAUUCAAUUGGAAUUUUUUAUUACAUUCAUGCUUCUGGUGUCCAUGAUCUAUACUGAUUUAAGUUGAAAUUUGUUAUUUAGAAAUUGGAGAAGGAUAAAGAAAGGACUGAAGUAGGUGCUGGUGCAUCUAAGAGGCCAUCCAAGAAGAGUAAUGCUGCCUCAAAAGGCACAACUGAUCAGGAUCAGGGGACAGCUGCUACAAGUCAACAGAAAAUGCCAACACUUAAAAGAAAAAGUAAGGUGGGAGUCAUUGAAGAAGCUGAGACUCAGGGUGGUAUUUUCACAUCUUAUUCUCAGCCAAUUCUAAUGUCACACACUCCUCUAGGGGUGCAACCUACCAGAUUUAGUACAAAUGAAAAUCACACCACAACCUUGAAGAAUUUGGAAGCAGCAGCUGAGGCAAGGAAAAAGAAUUUAGGCAAGAGGCCUGAAUGGAAGCUUUAAUGUAGUCUGAAACACUAAUUUUUUGAGCCUAUCUAUUUUUUUGCAUCCACUAAAUGGAUGAGAAUUAUGUUACAUGUGUAACAUUUGUGACAAAUUGUUAUUUCUGUAACAUACAUUGCUACUAUUAACCUGAUAGGCUGCUAUAUUAACCAGUAGAGGUUUAGUCCACUGUCAUUGGAAAUGACAGUUAUUGUAAAACUCUUUUGACUGUAAUGAAGUUUUAAUGGAGGUAGUUGUUGAUGUGAUUGGCUGUUCAAACCUUGGGAGUAGCUUGCAUUUACACCCUCUUCUGUUUUCUCUGGCUAUAAAUUGAGGUGUAAUUCUUGUUGUUCUUGCAUACAACACUAAUAUUCACAGCUUUUAGGUCUUUGUUUUACUAGCUUUUUCAAUUAACCAUGUCUACAUGGACCAAGCCACAAAAUGGUUAUGUCAAAAUCAAUGUAAAGGGUGUGUUUGUUAGGUCUGAAAUGAGGGCUGCUAUUGCUUGUAUCAUGAGAGAUGAUAAGGGAAACUGGAUCAAGGGCUGCCAAAGCAUGAUUGGCUUGGCAGUGCCAAUCACUGCUGAGUUGUGGUCCAUCUGGUAUGGCUUGAGGUUGGCUUGGGAGAAGGGUGAAAAGUCUGUGAUUCUUGAAUGUGAGUGUGCAGAGGCUGUGGAUCAGGUGCUCCAUCCUGAUGAGAAUAAUGAAAUGUAUGAUCUGAUUGUUCUCAUCAGGCAGAUCAUGGCUGAAGCAUGGGACCAGUGUGACAUUGUGCACAUCCCUGACUCUGCAAACUUGCCAGCUGCUGCUCUUGCAAACCGUGCAAUCCAGGGUCCUGGUGGCCUUGAGGAUCUGUUGGAGCCACCAACCUGUGUCCGUAGGCUCUUGCAUGCAGACAAGAUGGCCUGAUUUGGGAGGGGUUUCUGAGGGGGUUGUGGUUUUAGUUGUUUAAGUUUGUUGUUUAUGUUUGUGUUUGAUUAUGUUGGUCUAUGUAUCUGCAACAUCAUCUAUCUAUCUAUCCACAAGUUUUUAAUUUAGCAAGCAUCUCAAAAUCAAGCAUCAAAAAACCAGAUACCAAAAUCUAAUUAACACUCAACAAACUGCAAAUACUAACAAAUUACUCCUUUCAUUGACUAAUAUUCAAUUUAGUACAAUACAUUACAACAGAGUCAUCAAAAGCAAAUUACAACAAAAGCAUGUCAUUAAGCUCAGUUGUCUUCAUCAUUGCUAUUACACAACACAAUUACAAGAACAAAAAGGACCAUGGCGCAAACAUAAAACCAAUAUGAGUGCUCCUGCCUCGGUGCUUCAAGAGCUUCCUCACGUAAGCUUGCAUUUUGCGCCAUUUCUUCUUCAAGAGCUCUAACCCUCUCUCGCAAACCAUAAAUAACAACUCGACCUUGAAGGCACAUAGGUUCAUCGAUCCACCGGAAAUAGUUGCAGCCACUCCUCCCUCCAACACAACCAACAAAUCUCCUACCGGCGUUGGAUUGAGUCCACGCUGUACGUUGCACGGCUUGUCGACCACAUCGACAGUAUUCGGCCAUUUCUCUCCAGAUUAUGAUUUUAGGUCUAGGGUUUUUCAAUUUGGGGAAGAAAUGACCCUGUGAUCAUGGGUUAUGUUAUAUAUCGCUGGUUUGUAGCCGUUGUGUAGUAAAACUGCAGUUUAGUCACCAGCCUUUUCAAAACCAAACUAACGCCGUUAACAUCUUAUUAACGGUUGUACACAAUAUGUAAAGUUUUUCAAACUUGGUGUACACAAUCUGCUAUAUCGAAACUAGAGGUACACAUAUCGGAUUUGUGGCAAAGUACAGGUACACAAUGUGUAAUUUACUCUUAUUUUAUAAUUCACUCUAAAAUGGAGCAGAAAACAUGUAUAUUGCGUGCAAUCAUCCGGUCUUGGAAUGAAGGUGGUGGACAAGCAAAAAGCCUUGGCCAUACAUGUGUCAACUUACAAUAUACAGCACAUUUGAUUCGAUUAUGUGCAAGUUCAACCAACCUCAAAACCCAAUUGAACAUAAAAAUCACCGGAUCAUUGAUUAGCCAGAAAGAUUAGAUGAUAAUUAGAGAUGACUAGAUUAAAUUAAUGUUAGAAAAUUAAGUGUUUAAGACUAAUUAAGGUACGGUUGUAAUAACAACUUUGUAUAAGAAGGGGUAAAAUGGCUUGAUCAUUACUGAACUGGACUUCAACUUGCAAGUGGAUAACUAAACUCAAAAAGCUUGCAUUCAACUCACUCCACCAGCUUUUACUUGCAAUCACAUAACUAAACUAACUAAAAUUUGCACAUUCAUUAAGUGGUGUUAAAUUUUAACGGAAGCCCGUUAAUACCCAAUAACCCAAAUUCAUCUGACCCGCCCGAUUAUUUUAUAACCCGCCCCAAUUCGAGAACCGGGAAUUACGAGAGGGAACCGGGAAUUACGAGAAUGCUAUUUGUGAGUUUUAAUAUUUUUCUUAUAAGUUUACAUUACUUCUGCUCAUUAAAGUGUACAUGUGUUGUAAUAUUUUUUGUAUAUCUGUAGGUGCCUACACCUGGAACUACAACUCCACCCAAUGUUGCUGUAGAAAAAAAGAAAAAAUGGAGGAAAGCAUGUGGUGCAAAUCAGUUGUCUAAUUCUGCAGCAAUAGUAGUUUAUUAAUGCCAUCAUGUUACAGGCUUAUUUAAGCGUAUUAUUUAAAGUGGAACAAGUACAUAUGGUCAUGAAAUUGGACAGAUUUUUGGUCCCCCCAGAGACUACUACAGUGACAUUUGUUCAGGUUUACUGUUGUCCCCAACGUAUACUUUUUGUUCAUUAACAGUGUGCCUCCUUUCAUUAAAUCAUUAAAGACUUCUGUAUUAAGUAGUUAUUAUUUCGUUUAAUUUCUUCUGCAUACAUUAUUUUUUGCUUAAUUUAUAAAAUAUUUACUCGAUUUUUAUCAUUUUUUUUAAAAUGUGAUUGUAGGAUUUAGUAAUUAUUAAAAAGAAAAAAAUAAAUUUGGCAAAAAAAAGAAGAAAAAAAUAAACUAAAGUUUGCAUCAGAUCCAACUAGUAAUGUACUGCGGGGUAGAUUUUCCGUUAGUCGCGUUAGUUGAUUUAACGGAAGUUUAGUUUAGUUAUGUGAUUGCAAGUAAAAGUUGGUUAAGUUAGUUAAAUGCAAAUUUUUUGAGUUUAGUUAUCCAUUUGCAAGUUGAAGUCCAGUUUAGUAAUGAUCAAGCCAUUUUACCCGUAUAAUAAAUGCAGAUUUUAUAUUGGAUUAGGUGAGAAUCUUUCCAACAUGCAAUAAACUUUGCAAUAUUUUUCCAUGAAUAUAUGGAAAUAUAAUCGUAUACUCAAAGCUUUGAACAAGAGGGGAAAGACGGGACCCACAAGAAUAUAGCAAGUGACUUUAACUUGACACAAGAAAAAUCAUCUCCUCUUGUGAUCCAACACUGCAAGCCACAACUCUGGCACCGCUGAACAUGAACAGGUGAAAAAGGAUGGAUAUGAGCAAAGUCUCUUGAGCAUACGUACUCUAACUGCCUUUGUUCAAAACCAUCAUUCAGUUAUGUUACACAAUUUCAUAUUCUUUAACAAUAUUUUUAGUAUUCGGUAACAGAACUAUAAAAGCGGUAAUUGAAUUUAAUCGGCAAGGACACGCAACAAGGAUUCAUCAAAUUAAUUGGAUUGAUAGGAGAUUAAUCGGAUGAUUAAUUGAAUAAUCGGAUUUUAAUGAAUUCGUGAGUUAUGAAAUAUGAAUUGACCGGUGAUUAAUCCUGAUGUAUUAACUGAUGGUUAGACUAAUGUUUUGUGAUGAGAAGUAGAUUGAUAUGUAAAAGAAAUAACUACCUAGCUAAUGAUUGAAAAUUUGCAAAAAUAUCAAGAUGUGAUUUUUCAUAUUUAUUUUGGGCAUCAUUUUUACGAAUAUAGGUUUAUUUCGAGCCGAACCAAACUUCAACCCGGAUUUUCGAAAAUAAUAAACGAUAAACCUAUCAUUUAGGUUAUCCAAUCACUAUUUUGAAUAAUUUCAAAAAUAUAACAAUAUUAUACAAAAUUUCAGUCAAUUUGACCUGUCAAAAAUGGAUAAAAUUCAAAAGUUGACAAAUAAUAUAGAACGGAGAGCUUAAAGUUGUACUUUUAAAUUUUUGUUAUGAUAAUUGAUAGGAAACUAGCUAAACAAUAAAGCUCUCUUGCCUUUCUAUUCCCUUUUUGGAAAGAUUAAAGAUGCUGUUACAAACAUAAAUUAACUUGCCAGGAAAAUCCUGAUACAGUUGAUGUACAUAACAGAAAAAAAGAAACUAGAGUAAAAGAUGGGACUUUUUCGCCAAGUAAAAACGGAAAGAACAUAAUACAAACAACAAAAACAGAAAGUUAAGUAGCUUUCUUGUAAAUAUAGCUGAUAUACAAACUAUAACUUAGAAGUUUCUUUCUCCCCAAUCCCACUACUUAGAAACGUGACUCCCAAGCUUGUUUUCCUCUCAUUCUUAUCAUAUAUAAGUAAUCAUUUGUCACACCAUUCAUCUUAAAUCAUCAACAUUUCCUAGCUUACAUUAAUAAAACCUCGAAAAAGCUACUUAUUAUCUGAAAAAAUUCAAGAUUUUGCAGCUGAUCUUAGAUGGAGAGUGGAACUAGUGAUGGAAGCUGUGUAAGGUUGCAGAUAGCUGAGCUGAAGUCGAAGCUAAGCGAAACAGGGAGUUCAGCUGGCACCAUUUAUGAGCCUGGAAUUAGUGUCGAAAAAGGGGAGAGUAGUAAUUUUAGUCCUGAUGAUUCUUUAAGGAGAAAUAGCCACAGGGCACCAGAACAGAAGCUGACAUUGUUUGCUCUGAGGCUGGCUGUGCUGGAGAAAGCUGCGACAGGGUUGGGAACAUUAGGCUUCAUCUGGGCCACCGUGGUUUUGCUAGGCGGAUUUGCUAUUACUCUUGACAAGACAGAUUUUUGGUUUAUUACCAUUAUAUUGUUGAUUGAAGGGACAAGAAUUUUCAGCAGGAGUCAUGAGCUUGAGUGGCAGCAUCAGGCCACGUGGUCGAUUGCUGAUGCUGGAAUCAAUAGCUUUCGUGCAAUCAGAUCAAAUUCACGGUCUGUGAUCACAACUGUCAAGUCCUUUUUCAGGCCUGUUGUGAAGGCUAGUCAACAUGGUAGAGAGAUCACAAGGAAUAGGAAGAUGGAAAUUCAGAAGAAGGCGCCUAGUCGGGUGUGGACUACUACAGAUGUUCCACUUCUUCCGUAUGCUCCUUGGGUUUUCUUGUCAAGAAAUGUUAGUAAACUUCUUUACUGGCUUCAACUUGCAUCUGCAAGUGCUUGUGUUGGUCUGUCUCUGGUGAAGCUUGUUAGGCAUAAUUAUGGGGAAGUAGCUAAAGGGGAUACAGACAAGAGGAAUAGACAAGCAGCUCUCAAUAUUUUUUAUUCCUUGGCAUUGGCAGAGGCUCUGCUGUUUUUGCUUGAGAAAGCUUAUUGGGAAUGGAAAGUCAUUUGUUGUAGAUUGUUGGAACAAGUUAAUAAAGAAUGUGAACUUGGCCCCUCAGGUAUGGUUUCAAUCAGAAGAUUUUUCUAUGACGCGUACUCCAGAUGCGUUUCAGGAAGCAUUUUUGAUGGCCUUAAAAUGGACAUGGUAUCAUUUGCCAUGGAUCUCUUGGCCUCAAGUUCUCCUGAUGAGCAGCUGAUUGGAGCACAAAUUCUACGAAGCUUUGCAGCAAAUGAUCGGUUUUCAGAUGAUACGCUACAGAAGAUUGGAAUAUCAAUAUCAGUGAUGGAAAGGUUAGUAGAGAUGUUGAACUGGAAAGAUCCACAAGAAGAAGAAAUAAGGCAUUCAGCAGCCGAGAUUCUGUCAAAACUAGCUGGGAAGAAACAAAAUUCCCUUCGAGUUGCAGGCAUACCUGGUGCUAUGGAAUCAAUAUCCUCUCUUUUACAUGUCAGUAGGACUUCCACUGCUGCAGCUGAUGAGAUAUUUGAAAAGAAGAUCAUCUUUGACAGCGAAAAUUAUGGGGUUUGGACAUUUAACCAUUUGGGGCUUCUCAUUCUCAAGAAGCUUGCCCGUGACCAUGACAACUGUGGAAAGAUUGGAAACACAAGAGGACUAUUACCAAAGAUCAUUGAUUUCACUCAUGCAGAUGAGAGGUUACUCAAAAAUGGCAAGGCUUCACCAUCUCAAAUUUUGACUGUCAAAAGAUCUUUGCAAGUUGUGAGGAUGCUUGCAAGUACAGCAGGUGCCACAGGAAAACAGCUCCGCAAAGAGAUUUCUGAGGUAGUUUUGACAAUCAGCAACAUAAGGGAUAUAUUAAGAUGCGGUGAAAAACAUCCAGUGUUACAAAAACUAGGCAUAGAGAUUUUAACUAGUCUGGCAUUGGAGGAAGAUGCAACCGAAAGAAUUGGAGGAACAGGUGGAUUACUCAAGGAAUUGUUCAACAUUUUCUUUAAACAGGAGAUCCCAGAUAAUCAGAACCAUGUAAAGAUUGCUGCCGGAGAAGCACUAUCAAUGUUAGUACUAGAAAGCAAGAACAAUUGUCAUCGGAUCUUGAAGCUUAAUGUAACUGAACAGCUUGUCAGUGCAUUAGAGAUUCCAGUGCUUCAUGUAAAUGCAGCAAGAAUACUGCGAAACUUGUGUAGCUACAGCGGAUCACAUUGUUUUGACAAACUAAGAGACAUUACAACUGCAACACCUACUGUGAGAUUUUAAACUUUCAGUAUGUUCACUUAUAUACUUUCCAAGAUCAAAUAUAGCAAUAGGACUAAUAAGUUUGAGUUUCUCUCUUGCAGAUUCUUAAAGCAAUUAUGACAGCAGAGAAUAAGUUGCAAGAAGUAAUGAUUGGACUAGCAGCACAAGUUUUCAGAUAUAUGCCACCUAAAGAAUCAAGCAGCAUGUUCGAAAGAGCUGGAAUUCAUGAGGCAGAAUUAGCAGGAGCACUAGUCCAAAUUCUGAGGAAAUAUCCGUAUCCUCAAAUUAAGAUUCCAAGAAUAAGAAGGUUUGCGAUAGAGUUGGCAAUUUGGAUGAUGAGAGACAAAGAUACAAACAUAACAAUGUUCAGGGACUUGGGAAUGGUGAAGGAGCUGGAAAAUGUUAUAGAGACCACAUCAGAGCUUGAAAGUUUCAAUAUUUUCUCCGGUACUGUUGGGCUCAGCCGUCAUAGCACAACAAUCCAUUCACUAGUGGAAACCGCAAUGCAGUUGCUUGAAACUGAGUAAGUUACAGAAAUGAAAUAUUUGCAAGAAAAAAAGAGGAUGCUGAUGCUGAAGUUAUCUAAAUGUAAUAAGCCUGUACAUAUUACUGUAUUGUUGUUGUAGGAGAUUCUUUUAUUAUAUCAUUAUAUUUUUCAAAAGAAAUUUAACUGUAUUAAUAUUUGAGUGUCUUGUUUUCCAGAAAUUACUGCAUAUGCAUGUCAGUACUACAUAAUUCCUCAUUGGCAGAUUGUGCAUUCAUGUAAGUGUUGAUCCAUAAAAUGCUAAAAAAGGUCCAAUGUGCUAUAAACAUAUAGCUAAAUGCUAAUAGCAAGGGGUGUGAAUUUGCAAUUGUGGUAUUCAAGCAAUCUUCUUACAUAAAAAUGGUUGGAAGGCAUAAGAUGGUAGUAAAAGAAGCAAAUUUAAUACCUUCCACUUCUCUCUGUCUUGUUCUGCUGUGGUCCAAAAAGCAUGCAAAGACCUCAUUUUUCUCCAACAAUCAUUCUCAACUCCACUCCAUUGGCUGUUGGAUAACAUGUGAUAAGGUAAGGUUUACCAAGUAUACAAUUAUACAUCAACCAACCAAAUGUUUCAUUACCUAAAGAACCAGAAACAGAAUUAUAUAAGACUUGCAGUGUUACACAGGAACCAUCCUAAAGUUGCAGUACCUUAAAGUACUAAAAUCAGGCUUUCAUGUUGAAAACUUGUUCCAAUUAAUAACUUGUUUUCUUUGGUUGAUUGUUAAUAAAUGAUUUAUCUUUUUUAAGGAUUGUUGAGUGGGAAGUGAAGACAAAGACAUUGAUCUCUAACUCUGCCAUCUCAACGCCUUGAAAUUGUGUUAAAUGGAAAGCAUUAAUUUCUGGUCUAAAACAUGGUUAUAGUGAUCGGAAAUUGAAACUAAUCGUCGUUUCAGGAUUUAGAAGAGAUUUAUCAGAGGUUUUUUAAAUAAAUUAAAUAUUUUAAGUCAAAUUAGAAUAUAAUAAUAGAGUUAAGUUCUAUGGAGUACAUAAAAACAUUGGAGUAUUGGAGUACAAAUCAUAAUGUUUUGGUUUGAUCCUAUAUAAUAUCUUUGAUUAUCCAAAUUUUGAUAUAAUCUAUCAUUUAUAAGUUGUCUUGCACAUAAUUGUCAAUUAAUCAUUAAUAUCUUUCAACUUUAACAAGUAUUAAGAUUAUUGUUCUGCUUAUUAGUUAUAUUGCAGAACAUAGAGUCCUAUGAUUUAUAAAAGUAAUUAUUGUAUCAUUUGAUCACGAUGUUUAUGUUGCAGAACAUAAUGUGCAGGUUGUCAAAUAGUUACGAAUAUUAUUGGACAAAAAAAAUUAAAAUUUAGAUGACUAGAUUACAUUUUAUCAAACUUUGUACUCCAAUACUCCAAUUUUUUUUAUACUCCAUAGAACUUAACUCUAUAAUAAUAUAAUAAUCAUUAAAUAUAUACAACAUGUGAUGCAACCCAUGUAAUUUAAAAUCUUGGAGUACUUUAUGGCCUGCUUGUUAUCUUUCAACAACCACCAGCUAUGCCAAAUCUGCAUUUCUUUAGAACAAGUAGUUCCUCAUACUAUAUCACAUUUUUUGGGCAUCGAAUCGGUUUCGAGUCGUGUUCUUCUCUAUAUGGGUAUCAAUCAUGUGUCAUAUAUAAAUUAAGUAACAAAAUAAGAGUUUCAAACUAAGCUAUGAUGCUACAAAAAUAAAAUAAAAAAUGUGACACUUAGAAAUGAGAAUGAAAAAUAAAUAAAAGAAAAAAGGGCAACCAAACAGAAUCUUAUCUGUUUUAUAUGAUAAAACUUCUCUUGGUGACCUUGUAGAGACCAAUUUCUAUUUUCCUCCACUCAUAAGAAACCCCUAUCUGCCACGCAAAAGCCAAAUAUAAACUACUACUACUUCAAAGUAACAACUCAUCAAUAUUACUAUACAUUCUCACUCAAAUAACACUUUAGUCAUAUUUUACAUCUCUCGAGUUGGAGCUAAANGUCAUAUUUUACAUCUCUCGAGUUGGAGCUAAACCCANUCUCACUCAAAUAACACUUUAGUCAUAUUUUACAUCUCUCGAGUUGGAGCUAAACCCCCCUUCUAAUUACCCAUUCAAGCCAUUCUAAGGUAACCCUAGUGCCUUAAACUCUUUAAUUCCUAAAUUUUUUAUCUGGGUAUGUGAUGAAAUGAAAGAAAUCAAGAAUGUGAUGGUUAAAAAUCACUAAAGUUUGAAACUUUAUAUAUUUUUUUGAGAAAGCUGUCAUUCUUAACAAAAGGGUUGCUUGGGAUCUUACAUUUCUUGAUCUUUAUAAUGCAUGUGUCACUGUUUGUUUGUUUGGUGAUAUCAAGUUUCUAUCUGUUUUCAUGUUUGUUUACAUUUCUUGAUCUUUAUGAUGCAUGUGUCAUUGUUUGUUUGUUUGAUGAUUUCAAGUUUCUAUCUGGUUUCAUUUUUAGAAGGAAAGCAUAUUCUUCAGUGAAUGUUGAAUGAUUGAAUGACCAUUUUGGUUAUUCUAUAAUAGUCAAUCUCCAGGAUGAUCAUACAAGAAUUUAAAUGUUUGUUAUUUUGUAUGUUUUUGUAUGAAAGUGAAUAGGACAAGUGUAGGGCAGACAACAUGUGAUGGUUGGAUUGACUAUAUUAUAUAGAGAAUAUAUUAUAUACAUCUCUGUGUGUGUGUUAUGAAAUUGGAAAUUUGUUUCACUCUGGUUGUAUUUUCAUACAUAAAAGUGAACAAGAGUUCAGAAUAUUUAAAAUAGAAUGCACCAGAUGAAUUAGGUUCAAUUACUGUUGAUUUCUCAGAUUUAAUGUCAGAUGUGUUAGCAAUUUUUCCACGGCUUUACUAUGUAAUAGUUCAUUGAUUGUCUAUUGUUUUAACUUUAUUUGAUGGUGUAAUUGUUUGAAUAACAUGUCCUUUUCUGCAUCAAACAAAAUGAACAUUUAUAAAUCAUAAAAUUUGUUUGUUGGGAAACAAAGGACAACCAAGAGGUGAAAUCCAAUUAGCUAGAUGAUGACAAGGCUGUCCGUGUGUUGAUAGCGUUAAUGAAUUAAACAAGGUAAAGAACAAUUAGUUGAUGAGUAAGACAUAUGCAAAAUGUGGUUUGACCACUGUAGCAUUUGGAGAAUGUGCUCACAGAAACAGAACAAAGCAUGGAAAGAUAAAUGGAUGAGAUAGUAUAACAAAUUGGAAGACAUUCCAGGCUUCUUGAACACUAAGGUAUAACUUACCGGCUAAGUUUUGAGGCUACACAUGGUUCCCUAAUUUAGAUUUAAAUGUGUCAAUUAUGUUACUUAAACGUAUGGUUGACAAUCGGAAAAUAUGCAUUAUGAACAUAAAUAUAUGCUACUGUUAGUGUAAUUAUGAAUGCCCCUAUUUAGAUACCUUAUAUGUCAUGAUAAGGCAAUACCUGUUCUCAAUUGUGUGCAAAAUUUAUUGUUGAUCCGACCUUAGUUGAGGUGUAGAUGGUGUGCUCCUAAGAAUGAUUACCUAACUUCUAAGAAGAUUCUGGGAACAACGUCCAACGACAAAAAUUUUAAAUGAAGGGUACAAUAAUAGCAUGAAAUACUUGGUGUUCAAGUCAAAUUUAACUGAUAAAGCCUUGCAUUUAUUUAAAAGCAGGUGAGGAUGGCUCAGAUCUUAGCUCCGUCAGUGCAAUGGCAAAUGAGAUUCACAAAAAAUUCUACCGAAGUAAGUUCAAUGACAUCAAAGAUGUGGGGUUCUCUAUUCCUGAAACAAAACAAGAAAGCACCAGCUAGAAGUUCUACCAAAUAUAGAGCAUUAGCAGUGAAGUCUGAGGAUGGCACCAUAAAUAGGAUGGAAGAUCUACUAAAUUUGGAUGUAACUCCAUACACCGAUAAGAUCAUAGCCGAGUAUAUAUGGUAUGCUCUCUACUUCACACAAACAUGAUCUAAGAUAAUUUUGAGCACGGCGCAUGUUGACAUUUGUUAUACUAUUUUCAUCAGCAAUCUUUCACAUUUGUUACAUAUUAUGAUACCUAGAUCCCAAGCUUCUAAAUUUGUAAAAGACAUCAUGCUAAUUCAUAACAUCUGCAUCUUGAAACAGGAUAGGAGGAACUGGCAUUGAUGUUCGAAGCAAAUCAAGGGUAAUUUGAAGCUUAAAUGUUGCUUACCAAGUGUACUCUGGUAGUAAGCUGAUCAUUGAAUUACUUUUACUUUAUUCCUAAGUUCAUUUCUGUAUGUUUGCAGACAAUCUCAAAGCCAGUUGAGCACCCGUCUGAGCUACCAAAAUGGAACUAUGAUGGAUCAAGUACUGGGCAAGCACCUGGAGAUGAUAGUGAAGUAAUUUUAUAGUAAGAUUCUAUAAAGAAGCACUUCUAUCUGAUAAACUAUUCCUUCAAAUCAUCUGUCGUAUAUUAAAUAUUUUUUAACUGUAUUCAGCCCUCAAGCAAUUUUCAAGGACCCUUUCCGUGGUGGUAACAACAUCCUCGUGAGUCAAACAAUUUCAUGCAGCAAUUGUAUUGUGUUCAAUUGUUAAAUAUACAUCUGUUUAUGACAUUUUAAUUUUAUUUUGUAAAUAUGAUAUAUAAAAUAUCUCUUAAACCCUUUUGAAUAUUUCGAAAAGGUCAUAUGCGAUACCUACACGCCCCAAGGAGAGCCUAUUCCUACAAAUAAACGCCACAAGGCUGCUCAAAUAUUUAGCGAUGCGAAGGUUUUAGGUGAAGUUCCAUGGUAAGCAAAAUUUAUAAUUGAUUUCAUUUUGGCACUUCUGCAUUAUCAACUUACCUAAGAUCUAGCUUUGAGAAGGAAUGUCAUGUGUAACACAAUGAUGCCUGAUUUUUUGGUUGUCUAAGAGCAGGUAGGGGAUUUCGAUUUCUGUCUGUCUUUCUUAUGAGUAAUUUUUUCAUAACCAUCUGCUAGGUUUGGAAUAGAGCAAGAGUACACCUUGAUGCAACAGGAUGUAAACUGGCCUUUGGGAUGGCCUGUUGGAGGCUAUCCUGGUCCUCAGGUAAGAAGAUCUCAGCAAAGUAAUUAUGCUACACAUUUUAUGUUUAAAGUAUACUUAUAACUUGUUUCCUAUCUUGUCUUUUAAUAUCACAGGGUCCAUAUUACUGUGCUGCUGGAGCGGAUAAGUCAUUUGGCAGAGACAUAUCUGACGCUCAUUAUAAGGCUUGCUUAUAUGCCGGAAUUAAUAUUAGUGGCACAAAUGGAGAAGUUAUGCCUGGCCAGGUCUGUUCUUCUUAUGUCCUUUCUACAGAUGCUUAUAGAUGUUACAUCACUGGUAAUAUUCGUCAUCUUAUUUUUUUUCCAUUUUAAUGCAGUGGGAAUUUCAAGUGGGUCCCAGUGUCGGUAUUGAAGCUGGCGAUCACAUCUGGUGUGCCAGAUACCUCCUGGAGGCAAGUUAUAUCCUCAGAUAGUGGUCUAAUAUCCAACUCCAUGCACUGUCGGGAAACCAAUUAUUUUCAAACGAUUAAUAUUACAAGUCAUGAUCCAGAAGCUUUGAUGUCCUUUUCAUUCGCUUUAAAACUGAAGUUUUAGGGUCUAACCCUUGCUUCUUUGAUUUACGUUUCUCAAGUUUUGCAGUCUGUAUUGAGUCCCAAUUUAGUUUUAGCUGUAUGUGCUUAUAUUUAACAAACCAACUAUACUAUGCAUAUGCUUGGGUGGUUAGUCGUUUUUCCCCAACACAUUUUAAUUACUUUUGCAUCUUCUAUGUCUUUUUUGUUAUGACAGAGAAUUACUGAGCAAGCUGGGGUCGUUCUCACACUUGACCCGAAACCAAUUGAUGUAAGCUAGAUCAUGUACAAGUGCAGUUAUACAUCAUGGUUAGAUAUUAUAAAGAAUAUUAUCUAAUCUCUUAUUUGAAUCUGCAGGGUGACUGGAAUGGAGCAGGCUGCCACACCAACUACAGGUACUUCUGUGCUUUAUUAAUAUGUAUUCAAGCUGCUUAUUACUAUAUGAACUGAUGGAAUAUAAGCACUGUCAGAAAAUCAAUGUUUAACUUAACAUUCUUUGGAAUCACAGUACAAAAAGUAUGAGAGAGGAGGGAGGCUUUGAAGUAAUUAAGAAAGCAAUCUUAAACCUUUCACUUCGCCACAAAGAGCACAUCAGUGCAUAUGGAGAAGGAAAUGAGAGAAGAUUGACAGGAAAGCAUGAAACUGCGAGCAUUGACAGCUUUUCUUGGGUAUGUGUUGAUAGUGUUGGCAUUUAAUUCUGCAAAAACAGACAAGAGUGUAGAUGUAAAAUAUUCUAUUCCAAUUCUAAUUUGGUAACAUGACUUUAUCAUGCAGGGAGUUGCUGACCGUGGUUGCUCAAUCCGUGUGGGGCGUGAUACUGAGAAGGAAGGCAAAGGUAGGCCCUGUAAUUGGCAAAACUAGAAAAAAACUGGCAUAGCUAUUAAAAGUUCUUAUACAGUUGUUAGCUACCAAAUGAACAAAUUUUGUGCAGUUUUUUUGUCUAUACUUAUAUUUUGGUAUCUUCAAAACCAAGUUUGUCAAUUAGUACUUAUUGAUACCUUCAUCUUUUUCUUACUAUCCUUUCUAUUGUAUGGCAGGUUACUUGGAGGAUCGGCGCCCUGCUUCAAACAUGGACCCAUAUGUUGUGACUGGUUUACUUGCUGAAACUACAUUACUGUGGGAGCCAACACUUGAAGCUGAAGCUCUUGCUGCACAGAAACUAUCUUUGAAUGUCUAGAUUCAGUUCAAGAUAAAUUUACAUUUUCCACAAAAUUCAUUGUCGUCAGUUGAACCGCCUCCUGCUUUCUUUGGAUCAUUAGUUGAUAAUUUCUGUAAAUAAAGGGAGCCCCAGUGGUUAACCUUUCCUUCUAUUAUGAAAGACAUUCUUGGAGGUCAUUAGGUGUUCAAAAGAAUAAUUAUGAUGAUUUUGAGAAUACUCUACCCGGAAGCAAUUGUCAUCAAGUUCUGAGCCUG